UUAUUUAAAAAUGCUACUCGUAAUAUUACAUUAUUUAUAAAGUUUAUAUAUCAUAACUGCUAUUGAAAGAAAAAACAAGUAAAUAUGGAAUGACUAAGAUAAUAUAUAACAGCAAGCCUUUAAGCUACCUCUUGUAAUGGGGAACUUUUNCUGUNAUCAUGCGAUAGAUAUUGUNGGUUAAGUUGUUCAAGAACCUAAAAUAUUAACAACAAAAUUUUCAUCUUCGUUUGAUUCAUCAACAUUUGCUUCAUGUGGUUGUUCCUCUGCGCCUCACAAUUUGUCUAGUGGCUUCCCACAAAGAUUGAUAUUAUAUUCAUAACUUGAAGCCUCAAAACUUUGUAGUUGAGUGCCAAUUGGAAUUUUCCCUGAUAAAUUAUUAGGAGAUAAAUCCAACAUGGUAAGCCGAUCAAUUUGGGUAAGGCUGGUAGGAAUUGAACCCAAUUAAAUUAAGGAGGAAAGCUUUUCCUACCAAAUUAUGCUCAGUUCUUAUAAAACACAUCUUCUCUCUAGAACUUCANCCCUCAUUCUCCUCUACCUUCUCUCUAACCUCCUUACUGAUUCACCCAGUGCAUAUUGUUGUUUAGCUGGCAUCCCUGUGUUCACGGAGUCGAGAACUUCAACUUGAACCAAGUGAUUUCGCGUUCUUUCUUGUAAAGAUUCUACUUUCCAUGUAAGUGGUUAUGUCUUGUCUCCGCUAUUUUAGAACCUAGCAUUUUGAUUAUGCAANGAUUCUGCUUUGCAUGUGAUUUGUAAUUCCCUUUUCUUCCCUUUCUAGCUCGAACUUGGUUUUAAGAACUGUCCUCCAUUGUCGAAAUGAUGAUAUGUUGGUUUGUUGAGCUCUUCGCUAUUUGAGGCACUCUUUAAGGGUUUCCAUUCAAGCUGUGUUGUGAAUCUAAGGUAAGGGGAGCUAGUUCUAUCUUUUAAAUUUGUUGUAUGAUGUUAGGGCAAGAUAAAUUUUGAUGUGGCUCUAUUAUUUUGCUUAGUCUAGAUUCCAGUAUUUGAAAUGUUCAUUUGCUUGAGUGCUUAAUUGUGAACUUGUAAUGUAGUGGUUGUAAACUAUUUUGGAUGAAUGAUUCCUGUAACGGUGCAUGUUGGAAGUGGUUGUUGUGAAGUUUCUGUUGUAGCUCUGAUUUGGAAAGAGGUGAAGUGCUAGGUACUGUUUCAGAUCAUUCUCAAGGAAUUAGAGUAGUGACUUUAGAAAUUGGGCUUUUGGGUAAAGUAGUGNUGCUUGCGUAGUCUAGACAGGUUAGUUGUGACUGGUUAGGCACCUCAAUUUGGUCUAAAACAUGGUGCAAGAGAUAAAAACUAAAAUUAGGUCCUUAGGUUGAUGNAUCAAGUUGAAGGUAAGGUAAGUAUACACUGUUUAGGCCAUUUUAGAGGUACCAAGGAAGUGAUAUGGAGAUCUAGGGGCCAAUGGCUAAUAUGGGUUGUUGGGACUGUUUGGUUAAGUCAUUUGAAACUUGCUAGUGGUGCUAAAAUGGUCAAAAAUGCAGUCUAAAUGGUAAAUUCAAUUUUAGGUCUCUAAGUUGAUGGAAUUGAGGUUUUAGGGAGUAAUUUGGUGCAUAAUCACUUUGUAAUGAUGUUGGGGACGUCUAGGACCAUUUAGACAAGUCUAAUUGGGUAUAUAAGAUGAUUUAGGAGUGUUAGAAAUUGGGGAAAAGGUCUAGAACGAGUUCUGGGGUGUUGGGUUGCAUAAAUCUGCAGAAUUUCUUUAUGCAAAUUAUGUAGACUCGCAUAGCGUACUGGGUGCGCUAUGCGAAUUACUCUGGAGGCCUCCCCUCUGUUGGUCUAUUCACCUAGCGCACAGGGGGAUGCGCUGUGCGAAAUCGUCUGGUUUCGCUGUGCGUCCUAGUGCGUUGUGCGACCAGGCCUAGUGAGUUUCACUUUUUCUUCUUUUGUUUGGAUUAUUUGAUGUAUGAUUGAUAAAGUGUAAGGUAUGUCCAUAUCUUUGAAUUAUGUGGCUUGAAAGAAUAUGAUUGCGAAUUGAAAUGAUGAAAUUGAGUAUGAAUUGGACAUCUCAAGGUGAGAUGAUUUGGAGUGGUUGUAAAGAUUGUGUUGUUGUCAUGUAUAAUUGUAUGGAGCUUUGAAAAGGUAUGUCCAUCCCUACACUUAAAGCAUUGUUCGUGCUNNNNNNNNNNNNNNNNNNNNNNNNNNNNNNNNNNNNNNNNNNNNNNNNNNNNNNNNNNNNNNNNNNNNNNNNNNNNNNNNNNNNNNNNNNGACCAAUAGUUUGACAGUUAUACAAAUUCGGAUGAGUCGUAUUGAGUAUUUGAUGCAUGGUUUGAAUUGUAUGCUUUGAUUGUUCUUUUUAUAUGUAACUAAACAUGAUGAUAUUAAUUGAUUGUGCUAUGUGUAUAUUGCUUCUUUACCUAGUCACCCAUGCUUUUGUGUUGUGUGUUGCUUGUGUAUGUUUUUCCUUUGUGAUGAUCAUCCACUUGGAUAUGANCAAAUGUUGAGGAGGUGCCCUUGGAACAAGCACUGGAGGAGGCUGAUGUUGUUGUUUAAGUCUCCUUAGGAUUGCUCUUAGCUAUAUUAUGUUAUUUUGAGAUACUUCUUAGGUUACUUUGAAGUACCUUGUUUGAUUAAAAGUUUUAAUUUAGACAAUUCUGGAUGACUGUAAUCCUAUAACCUUAACAACAUAACCACCAUUCUACUUACAACUGUUUUCCUAUAUUAUAAUUGNGGACUUCUAUACUAUAUUGCGUUUUAUAUAAUUGGGAUGUCACACUUUGUGACUAAGACAAUUUAUCAUAAUAGCAAACUUAUUACAUAUCUGGAUUUUUAUUAUUUAAAUAUUUUUUUUCAAAGAACUUAAGAAAAUUAUAAAAAACAAUUAAAACGAAUAAUUUCAGAUUUUUUUAUAAAAAAUCACACAAAAUAUAAAAUUUUCUAAUGGUAUUUAUUUUAUAUAAUGUUUUAGUUCUACAUAGAAAUAAAUAACGUUAUUUUGUUAGUCAUAUGUAAACUGUUGGACUGUGUUAAUUUGAACUCUUUCUAUGUGAAAUUAACCAUCUUGUUAUUCAUAAAAGAAGCUAUUGCAAAUAUUACAACUUGUUAAAAAAACAAUUGCCAUGCGAAAUGCAUUUUCAGAUUACUUUUUUAAUUUUAUUAUCUUUCGAAUAUUGGCUUAUAAUUCUAUCACUAUUUUUUAAAGAAACAAUUGAUCGAUUAUUUUUUAUAUAAAAUUGUGGUUUAAUAUAAAAAUUCCAAGUUCGUGUUAGUUACCUCUCUUUUCACAAGUCUUCGGAUAAGUCAAUUGAUUGGAAUAGAAUUAUUGUCCCAAAAAAUUUCCCACCAUUUGAUAAUGGGGAAAGUGACAAAGGUGGAAAAGUGGAAGGUUCCCUUGUCAUUAUAUUUGAAUAAAGACCAAUGUCUAAUUUUCCAAUAAUGACUAGAUUUUUUGAAGUUUCCUUUUUAUUUUUGCAAUAUUUUUACAUUUUGUCCCAUUACACCAAAUUAAUUUACUAUAACAAAGUCAUUUGCUAGUAAUAGUAAUAGGAGAUGACAAUAAGCUUUCACUAUUAAACUAUUUUCUUAAUAUUUAGAUGGACUUACAAAGUGUUUUAAAUAUCCGUAAAGAAAAAAAAUCUAUUUUAUGAAUUUUAUAAAAAAAAUCACAAACAAUAUACGAAUUUCUAAUUGUAUAUAUUUUCAUACAAUAUUUUGUCUCUAAGAAUAAAUGACAUUAUUUAUUAUUCGUGUAAAACUAUUAAUUUUUAUAAUAUGGACUCUUUUUAUGUCUCUAGGAAAAUGAACCAUCUUGAUACCCACAAAUAAAAAUAUAUUGCAAAUAGUACAAUUUGUUCGACACAAUUCCAUUUUGAAGUGCAUUUUCAGAGCACUUUCUUAAUUUUGUUUUCCAAUAUUAACUUCCAAUUCAUUAAUUAUAACUAAGGACGAGUUUAAUGUUUUUUUUUUCUUCAAAUAAUAUUGUCCUUUAAAAUGAAAAUACACAAGUCUUCUUNGAAGUCAAUUGAUAUUAUUGAUAUUAUUGAAAUGCAUAAUAAAGUUAUUUAUGGACCACAAAAAUUAGUUGAUAUAUGAUGAAUAAAAAAAAUUGAAACAGGCAAACACGACGACGACUUAGAAUAAAGUAAUUAAGGAGUUGGUGUGAGUAUAAAUGUGGUUAUUGGGAGUGCUAAAUUCAGAACACAUAUCAAUCUAAUUCUAUACUAUUCACUCUCUCUGUUUCAUCAUCAUGAAGAAUCUCAAAAUUAUGAUGUUUAUGUUUGUGGUGAGUGUGGUGUUGCAGGUUGCUUAUGGACAACACCAUAUUCGAUGCAUUCCAAAUGAGAGGGAAGCACUCCUUCAAUUCAAGGCUGCCAUUGUCGAUCGUUACGGUAUGCUUUCCUCUUGGACCACUCCCGACUGUUGCCAAUGGGAGGGGAUUCGCUGCAGUAACCUCACCGCUCAUAUUAUAAGCCUCCACCUUCCUGGACAGUAUUAUUAUGAAGUCUCUUGGCGUUACAUCAGCGGAGAGAUCCACAAGUCGUUAAUGGAGUUGCGACAGUUGCAGUAUUUGAACCUCAGUUUCAAUUAUUUUCGAGAGACUAAUAUUCCAGAGUUUCUUGGAUCUCUUACCAACUUGAGAUAUCUUGAUCUCUCUUCAUGUCAUUUUAGCGGACAAAUUCCAACUCAGAUAAGUUCUCUUUCUCAUUUGAAAUAUUUGAAUCUUGCUCAUAAUUAUUAUUUGAAUGGUUCAAUCCCUCGUGAAAUUGGAAAUCUCUCUCGGUUGGAGUAUCUUGAUCUCAGUGGCAAUUCUUUUGAAGGAUACAUUCCUUCUCAACUAGGAAACCUUUCAAAUUUGCAUAAACUCUAUCUUGGAGGAUAUGAUGGUGAUCUCAAAAUUGUCACUAGUGAUCAAUGGUUAUCUAAUCUUAAUUCUUUAACCCAUCUUUACUUNNNNNNNNNNNNNNNNNNNNNNNNNNNNNNNNNNNNNNNNNNNNNNNNNNNNNNNNNNNNNNNNNNNNNNNNNNNNNNNNNNNNNNNNNNNNNNNNNNNNNNNNNNNNNNNNNNNNNNNNNNNNNNNNNNNNNNNNNNNNNNNNNNNNNNNNNNNNNNNNNNNNNNNNNNNNNNNNNNNNNNNNNNNNNNNNNNNNNNNNNNNNNNNNNNNNNNNNNNNNNNNNNNNNNNNNNNNNNNNNNNNNNNNNNNNNNNNNNNNNNNNNNNNNNNNNNNNNNNNNNNNNNNNNNNNNNNNNNNNNNNNNNNNNNNNNNNNNNNNNNNNNNNNNNNNNNNNNNNNNNNNNNNNNNNNNNNNNNNNNNNNNNNNNNNNNNNNNNNNNNNNNNNNNNNNNNNNNNNNNNNNNNNNNNNNNNNNNNNNNNNNNNNNNNNNNNNNNNNNNNNNNNNNNNNNNNNNNNNNNNNNNNNNNNNNNNNNNNNNNNNNNNNNNNNNNNNNNNNNNNNNNNNNNNNNNNNNNNNNNNNNNNNNNNNNNNNNNNNNNNNNNNNNNNNNNNNNNNNNNNNNNNNNNNNNNNNNNNNNNNNNNNNNNNNNNNNNNNNNNNNNNNNNNNNNNNNNNNNNNNNNNNNNNNNNNNNNNNNNNNNNNNNNNNNNNNNNNNNNNNNNNNNNNNNNNNNNNNNNNNNNNNNNNNNNNNNNNNNNNNNNNNNNNNNNNNNNNNNNNNNNNNNNNNNNNNNNNNNNNNNNNNNNNNNNNNNNNNNNNNNNNNNNNNNNNNNNNNNNNNNNNNNNNNNNNNNNNNNNNNNNNNNNNNNNNNNNNNNNNNNNNNNNNNNNNNNNNNNNNNNNNNNNNNNNNNNNNNNNNNNNNNNNNNNNNNNNNNNNNNNNNNNNNNNNNNNNNNNNNNNNNNNNNNNNNNNNNNNNNNNNNNNNNNNNNNNNNNNNNNNNNNNNNNNNNNNNNNNNNNNNNNNNNNNNNNNNNNNNNNNNNNNNNNNNNNNNNNNNNNNNNNNNNNNNNNNNNNNNNNNNNNNNNNNNNNNNNNNNNNNNNNNNNNNNNNNNNNNNNNNNNNNNNNNNNNNNNNNNNNNNNNNNNNNNNNNNNNNNNNNNNNNNNNNNNNNNNNNNNNNNNNNNNNNNNNNNNNNNNNNNNNNNNNNNNNNNNNNNNNNNNNNNNNNNNNNNNNNNNNNNNNNNNNNNNNNNNNNNNNNNNNNNNNNNNNNNNNNNNNNNNNNNNNNNNNNNNNNNNNNNNNNNNNNNNNNNNNNNNNNNNNNNNNNNNNNNNNNNNNNNNNNNNNNNNNNNNNNNNNNNNNNNNNNNNNNNNNNNNNNNNNNNNNNNNNNNNNNNNNNNNNNNNNNNNNNNNNNNNNNNNNNNNNNNNNNNNNNNNNNNNNNNNNNNNNNNNNNNNNNNNNNNNNNNNNNNNNNNNNNNNNNNNNNNNNNNNNNNNNNNNNNNNNNNNNNNNNNNNNNNNNNNNNNNNNNNNNNNNNNNNNNNNNNNNNNNNNNNNNNNNNNNNNNNNNNAUAGUAACAGGCUAAAUGGGACAAUUUCUGAAGAUCUUCGAUUUCCACCCGAACUUGAGGUAUUAAACUUGAUGUCAAACUCUUUGAAAGGUGUGUUAACUGACUCUCAUUUUUAUAAUAUGACAAAGUUAGGGAUAUUGAUGUUGUCAGAUAACUCAUUGACGUUAGAAGUUAGUGAAAAUUGGGCUUCAACUUUUCAAUUGGAUACUAUUGAAUUGAGGUCUUGCAAGCUUGGUCCAUUGUUUCCCAAAUGGCUAGAGAAACAAAACAAAUUUCAAGACCUUGACAUUUCAAAUAGUGGAAUAUCAGGUACNGUUCCAAAAUGGUUUUGGACCAAAUUUGGAUUCUCAAGUUGGAUGAGUAUUAAUAUUUCAUGUAAUAAUUUACAAGGUACGAUUCCAAAUUUACCAUUAGAGAAUAAAUAUUAUUCUCUUAGUCUGGCAUCAAAUCAAUUUGAAGGUNAUGUUCCACCAUUUUUACGAGACUCAAUAUUUCUUGAUCUAUCAAACAAUAAAUUCUCAAAUUCUUCUUNGUUUUUAUGNUCUAGUGGUGUAGUUGAAANUUUAUNCCGAUUAGACCUUUCANAUAAUAUGUUUUCUGGACAAAUUCCAGAAUGUUGGACCCAUUUCAAAUCAUUGGCUUACUUAAAUAUGAGUCAGAACAAAUUUAUAGGAGAGAUUCCCUCUUCAAUGGGAUCACUCCUUGAACUUCAAGUUUUGUUAUUGAGAAGCAAUAGCUUAACAGGUAAAAUCCCUUCCAUCUUGAAGAAUUGCACANAAUUGGUGAUGAUAGACAUAGCAGAAAAUAGAUUAUCAGGAUCUAUCCCAAAUUGGAUAGGAAACAAAUUAUCGCAGUUGCAAUUUUUAAGCUUAAGAAGCAACUAUUUCUGUGGGAGUUUACCGUUACAAAUUUGUUAUCUAAAAAGCAUUCAACUCUUAGAUCUCUCGCAAAACAACCUAUCCGGAGAAAUUCCUAAAUGCAUAAAAAACUUUUCCUCAAUGGCUCGAACCACUUCUUUGAGAGAUUACAGAGGUCAUCAAUAUUUUGUCAACACUACUUAUACCGAAGGUAACUAUUAUUCAUAUGAUUUGAAUGCAAUCUUGAUGUGGAAAGGUUCAGAACAGAUGUUCACAGACAUGGGAUUAUCACUUUUAAAAAGCAUAGAUCUCUCAAACAAUCAAUUAUUAGGUGAAAUUCCAAAAGAAAUAGAGAGUUUAUUUGGAUUGGUAUCAUUGAAUUUAUCAAGAAACCAAUUGAAAGGGAAAAUUCCUUCAAAUGUUGGAGAGUUAAGAUCACUUGAAUUUCUUGAUUUGUCACAAAACCAACUUGUUGGUUCUAUUCCUUCAAGUCUUGCUCAAAUUGAUCGACUCACUAUGUUAGAUUUGUCACAUAAUUAUUUAUCUGGAAAAAUUCCAACUGGCACACAAUUACAGAGUUUUGAUGCAUCCAAAUAUGGAGAUAAUGUUGAUCUCUGUGGACCACCAUUAAAGAAAUUGUGCAUUGAUGGAGUGGCAAGACAAGAACCAAUUGUUAAAUUUCAAGAGGAUGACAAUUUAAUUUUCAAUCGUGAAUAUUAUAUAAGUAUGACAAUUGGAUUUGUCAUAAGCUUUUGGGGAGUGUUUGGCUCAAUCUUAAUAAUACGUUCUUGGCGUCAUGCAUAUUUCCAAUUCUUAAUUAAUUUAUCAGACAGCCUCUAUGUCAUGACAGUAGUGAAAGUUUUGAAGAGACUGCUCACAACAUAGCAGGUAAUAUAAUUUAACCUUAUGUUACAAAUUUAAUAUUUUUUCUUUAUUAUUAUUAUUAUUAUUAUUUUAAUAAACAGUUUUAACAAUAUGUGAUAUUGAUCAAUAUUGAAGGCAUUUUUAUGGUAAAUUGCCGUUCUUUUAACUAUCAAUAUAUAAAUAAUUAUCGAUCAUAUUAUUAUUAUUAUUUUAAAUAGAAUAUUAAAAAGCACAUAAAAGAUUUUAGAUUUAAAAAUGUUUUUCUCUCCACGUGUAUUCAUCCAUAAUAUUGCUUUUAUAUUUGUUUUUCUUAUUUUUUAUUUCACGAUGGUUAUUAGUUAGUUUGCUAAUUGACAUAUCACCAUUUAGUAGAAAAAUAUGCCAAAAAAAUAAAUUUCUUACAUGAAGAAAAUCCAUAAAUAUUUCAGAAAAUAAUUAAUAGAAAAAGAAGAUAUAUUAAAAAGAUAUAGGAAACAAAAAGUAAUUUUUUAUUACAGACCAAAUAAAAAUCAUAAUGUAUUUCAAAUCUAAAAAAAAAAACACAUUUAAAGCCAAAAUUUGUAUACACGUAAACGAUCGUAUAUACAAACAUGUUUUUAUAUUAAUACAUCAUAAUUAUUGUUACUGGUUAUCAAGAUAUUAUUUAGUGAAAAAAAAUUAAUAACAUUAAAUUUUAAUUUGUCAUUCAGUAUUUAUUAUUUAUGUUUUGUUGUUAUUACUUUUGACGAAAUUAAUUAUUUGUUUAAUUUUUGGCAGAGGAAAUCUGGAUUAUAGGUGUAAGAAGAAAUGGAAUUAUUGUUUAAGAUCGAAAGGGUUGUGAUUUGGAGAAAAGAGGUACUUCACUUGGAUUUGGAGAAAGAUAAUUCAGGAAGGUUUUAUGACAAUUAUUUUCUUUAAAAGUUUAUUGGAUGUUACUCCCUACAGCUCCUCAUUUGCUCCCUCCAUCUCCCUCUUCCUUUUUUAUCUCUCACUCCAUCUUUUUAUUCCUAUUUUAUCCUUUUUACUUUUAAGGUUAAAAUUUUAUAAUUUCUACUCAAUUUUCACAUACACCCAGAGAACUUAUCUAUUCUCUUUUACUUUAUCCUCUCAUUGUUAAUCUUUUAUCGUGGGAAUUAUUUUUCUUUUCUUUCUUUCGUUAUUGUUGUAACCUGAGAACGUGGUGAGUGAUAGAUUGCAGGUAGAAAGUAGAAGGAACUGUUGUAGAGGUGAGAAAGUUCAAUCUCAACUUUUAUUUUCAGUGUGAAUAAACUGCGAGUUAUGAAUCCUGAAUUGUGGAAAUCUCUUAAACGGAUAUGAGCAUCCGUCAACGGAUGUCAACAUCCGUUUAAAGUGAAACGGAUGUCGACAUCCGUUUAAAGUGAUUUGGGGCUGGGUUUUCAAGGUUUGGUCGCUGUUGCAUGUAGACCAUGGUAAAGGUAGGGUAUUCUUUGUGGGUUAUGCAACUCAAAGAAUGAAGAAGUGUUUUCAUGAGCAGGUUACCUUCUCGGGAAGGAGCUUCUGCGUGGAUUAAAAGAAGAGAGUGAGUUGCUUAUGGAAGAUAAGGAUCUUGUGGGGUGCAAGUGUGAAGGGUUGGGGGUGUUAAGGUAUGAGUGCAUGGGAUGAUGGGUGUAAGGGGAUGUUGUGUGAGUGCGUGAGUGAAUAGAAGAGUCUGUAGGAGUGUGUUAGAUUGUGAAGGUUUUGUUUGAUGAAGAAAAAGUAGAAAAAAGCUAGAAAAGAGUUGAGAGAAGAUGAAGGGAAUGAGAGUCGAUUGCGAGAAUAAUUAUGUAGAAAGGAGCUGGUGGGUGUAAAUGUUGUAGGAGAGGAGUAUGAGUGGAAGAAAGGGAGAGCUUGGUCGGUUGCAGGUGAAGGACUUAGCAGUGAGAGUGCCUCGGGUUGGGUAGCAUGAAUGAAAUAAUGUGUCUUUUAAGGGCUUAGUUUCUCAUCGUGGCUAUGUUGGGAAAGAAAGAUACAAAAAGAAAGGGUUGGGUAUGUGAGUUAAAUGGAGCAUAGAAAGAGAGAGGGAGAGAGUUGUGGGAUUGGUUCAAUGGUGGAAUAGUAGCAUACAGGGAGUGGAUAGUUGAGUAGUUGUUUUACGUCUGAGAGAAUGAUUGUGGGUAAUAAAGGAGAUGAAGAAAAGGUGUAAAAGGGUAUGUGUGGAGAGAACUGAAAAAGAAGUGAGAAGAGAGAAGAAAGAAGGUAUGGUUGCAUGGUUGGUAAAGUGUGUGAAACUUGGAGGAGGAUGGAUGUUGGAAGAUUAAAAAAGAGUUGAGUUUGUGGUAGAAGUAGCAAAUGCGAAAUAGGAAGUCUUGGUGGUAAAGAAAAGAAAUGAAAAGGUUGGAAGAGUUGUAUGAGUUUAGUCUAGGAUUCCAUAAAGAAAUAAGAAAGAAUGUCUAUGCAGUUCUGUAAUGCUAAAUGAAAAGGAGUUUUAAAGUAUGAGAGAAAAAUAGGGGCAUAUGUGAAUGAUGUUAGAGAAAGUAAGAAAUUGAGGAAAAAUUGGGUAGUUGAGGGUCCCGUGGCAUUGAUGAAAAGAUAGUAGUGUUCUUUUAAUUUUUUUUACGUAUAUGCUGCAGGAGUAAAAAUCUGGGAGUUUUGGAAAUUAGAAAGAAGUAUGAGAAAGUUUGGGAGAAGAUUAGGGUGAUGCAAAUAGAGAAGAAGGAGUUUCAUUGGGGAAGGGUUUUAAGGUUUACGUGAUUGUUUAUGCAUGGAAUGGGGAUAUAAAAGUGAUUUGCUUUAGAAUAAAAAGGGGCACAGUAAAGUGGUGAAUGAAGAAAGAAAUAAGGAAGGAAAGAAGAUUGCUACUUAAAGGAAAGGUAACAGUGAUGGUGAUAGGAAGAAAAAAGUUAUGCAGGGAUGGUUUAGUAUAUGGGAGUAGCGUUGGUGGUAGGAAAUUGAUAAUAAAUGGUAUAUAUAUUAUAUUAAUAUAAUAUACAGAGACAAACAAAGUAUGAUAAAAGAGGGUGACGGAAGUGGGAAGAAAAUAAAUAAAAAGUAAAAGAGAAGUAAAAAGGUUAAAAAAGUAAAUAAAAAAGUUAUGUUUGUAAUUAAAAAAAAAAUUAUAAAAAAUUGGGAAGGUGGAGAGAGUAAAUGAAGAGGUAGAGGUAACAACACUCUGAAAUUAUUAGUCAAAAACCAUAUGGCUUUUUCUGAUCCAACCCGCGUGGUUCAGAGUGAAAUCAUGGAGGGAGUGUCAAAUUUACGAAUCUACUACGUACGAAUUUGGUUUUUUGAAAAAAAAUUUCAUCCUAACGCACCAAAUUCAUAUACAAAUUUUAUAUACGAAAACAAAAAAAACUCGUAUAUAAAAUUCGUAUAUAACUCAAUUUUAGAAAUCCAUAUAUAAUAUCUGAAUUACUUACGGAUUAAAAUUUACAUGUAAAUAUCAAUGAUAACUCACAUUUUUCUCAGUGUUUUCUAUUUAUUUGUAAAUUUUACUAACAAACAUUUUAUUGAUGAAUUUUUAAAAGUCAAAAAGUUGUUAAUUUUUAUGUACCAUGAAGAUGAAUUCUACUCAUUCAUAAAUAUAUUUUAUCCUUAUAAGUUAUGAAAAUAAAUUCUUCAAGAAGAAUUUAGAAACAAUAUUUUUUUGAUGUCAAGUUGAAGAACAUAAAUAUCUUCAAAAUAUUGUUUGAAUUGAAAAAUUACCUAGCCUGAUGUUUUCUAUUAUAGCUUAGUUUAGGAUUGGAUAGGAGUAAAGGAUGUGUAUCAAAUAGAGUUAGUUCAGAUUACAUUCUCUUGUAAAUAAGACUUAGAUACUCAUAAUUAAGCCCUAAUAAAAAGAAACCAAUAUGAGCUCUGCAAAUCACUUUUGAUUUUGAGAUUAAAACCUCAAGUAACAAAGACAUAUUAUAGAAAUGACAAUUUAAGUAUAGAGGGUUUUACUUUAUAGAGUUGAGAGAUAAAGGUUUAGCUCACCCACAAUAAACACUUUGACAACUUGUAAAUUCUACAAAAUUGUAGAGCUCUUAUGUGUUCGUCAAAUUUAACUUGAAUAUUUUAUAUAGGUUCUCCACGUAAUUGCUUUUUCAAUCUUGCUUCUUUUGGAUUCUUUGUAACUUGUUAUUUUAUGCAUGGUUUUCCUUGACUUGUGCUAAUUGGAAGUUUUUAUGGAAAGUUUUGAUACUUGGUAACUGUAUCUUUUAAUUUCUUUGUAAGAAACAAGCUAAGAACAUGUGAUAAAAGCAUGAUGCAAUAUGAUGAUGAAUCGCAAUAUGUUUCUUUUCUUUCCUAUGAUGUUAUCUAGUAUGGAUGUUGUAGAAUAUACACUUUCGAUUUUGUGUUUAAUCAUUUAUAGCGUAUAUGAUAUUAUAUCUUUACCUAUCUUUAAUUCGUUUUAUCUCUAAAAAAAACAUAUAUGAUUAUGUCUUUAAUUACAUAUAUGUUUAAUAUGUACACUAGCAGUGACCACUGAUACUUCAACUUGAAUAAUAGGUAUUAAUUAAACAGGUAUUAAACCAUAUGGGUUUCAAUAGUUCUAAUAUUCUUAAUGCGUAUAGAACUAUUUUUUUUUUCUUGAAAAUGUGAAAUCACUUAUUUGUACUUCCAAAAUUGGAAUUACCAAUUUUGUGACGAUAAUUCAUUAAAUUUAAAUCUAAUUAAUUUUUUUUAUUUUGACAAACAAUUUUUUAUAUUUUAACUCUUUCAAUUUCAUGUCAUAAUGGAGAUGACAAAGAAAGUGACAAAGAUGAAAGAGUAAAAGGACUUAUUAUUAUAGUACCUGUAAUCCUAAAAUGAAAGAUAAUUAUUGAGUUAAAAAUCGACAAGCAUGAUCUUCUAAUGAUAUACAAUUAUUUAUAUUCUGUUGGUUUAUUGAUGUCUUAAUUUUUAUUUUGAUUAUUUAAGUUUAUGUUUAAUGUGACCUAGCCAAGGAUUCCUAAAUUAGUGAUACUUGAUGUUUCCAAAAUAUUUGUAUUUUUUUUAUCUGUAACAUAUUUGUGAUCUUAUGUUAUAAGAUAUGAUGCAUUUUAUGAAUUAUAGUACAUCUAAGUUCGUCCCGUUUCAUUUUGUCAUCUCUACCCACAAUAAGAUAAUGAAAAGAUAAUUAAUCAAUACAAGGCAAAUCAACAAUAAGUUUCUUUUUUUAUUUGUCAAUAUUUUAUAAUUAUGUACAUUUACCCCAAAAUAAUUUACUAUAACAAACUCAUUUGCUAUUAUUAUGAGAUGACAAUAUUAUAAGAACGGUAGAACUUGUGACAUAAGCUUUCGCAACUAAAAUACAUAAUAUUUUAUUCGUCUUUUUUUAAUAAUCACUAGUGAAAAACACUGUUUAGCGUCACCACAUAGACGUCGGUUAUUAGGUCCACUGACGUAAAACGUUGACCAGUGGCAACUUCGUAAUUAAGUAGGGCAAGUAGAUGUCGGGACAUGCUCUACCCGAUGAGUGAAGAACCAUAGACGUCGGGGCCCCUACAAAGAAACGUCUAAAGGUCUGCCAGGUAAGGUGAAUAGUCGACCUAUAGACGUCCCCAUGACAACCACCAACGUCUAAAGGUCUCAAAGGUGUGAACAGUCACGAGAUAGACGUCGGUGACCCCCUAAUUGACGUCUAUAACUGACAAGUAGUUGAAUGUCAUUAAUGGUCUGAGGAAUAGACGUCGGUGCCCCCCUAAUGGACGUCUAUAACCUAACAGUUAGGUGAAACUGUAAUGAUUGUGCUACAAACUAGACGUCGGGUACCAUGCCACCGACGACUAUGUCCAACUAGAUGUUAGUUGUGUACAUAACUGAUGUCUAUAAUCCGCGCCAAUAUUAAUAUUUAAAUCAUAUAGACGUCAAAUUAGUGAGAGCACCAACGUCUAUAACCUUGCAGACGUCUUUCGCGAUAGCAAACCGAUGUCUAUAGUGACAUAAACUUCAGAACACGAACCCGCAAGCAGUUUCCACUAUUCAUCUUCUUCUUCGUCGAGAGCUUUCCCCUGCCGCGCCAUUAGAGGUUCGUUUUCAUUGUUUUUUACCGUUUAAAUUUAGUUUUGCUCCGAUUGAAUUAGUCUUUGAUGAAAAAGCUUUCAUUUGAACCGAUCAUAAUUUCAUUUCGUUGCAUUUUGUUGCAGUUUCAAACGUCUUGUUGGGUUGCGUUUUGGACUGCUUUUGGACUGUUUUUGGCGUGCACUACGACAUCUAUCUCAUUUGGUUAUAUAUAAUGUGCUAAAAAGGUUAGGUUGUUUCUUGAAAACUUAAUUUGUAUGGAUAUUAUUGGCUUUUGUGUAUGAUGUUGGCAAUUUGAAUUUGCAUUUUAUUGGUUUUUUUUUUAUAAUUUCAUAUUGACGUUUAGGUAUGCAUGUGUUUGCAAAUUGUUAGUAUAUGCAUGUGUUUGCAGAUUGUUAGUAUAUGCAUGUGAUUAAGUUUAGUUGUGUUAUUAUAAUUGACAUGCAUUAGUAUGAAAUCANUNAGUGAAACUUAGUNNCNGUUUGAAAUUUAACACAAACNAUUAAUCUUUUNAUCGUUUGUAUUAAAUUUUGAAUUGUCCAAUUGUCCAAUUGUCCAAUUUUAUACUAAUGAACUAUGUUACGAACAUAGUAUGGAUCGAAGUUGGAUGAAUGCACGUCGCCUCUCUGAAGAAUAUGAGAAGGGUGUUUCGGUGUUCUUGCAAUAUGUUAAAGAAAAUGCAAAGUCUGUGAACGGGACAUAUUUUUGUCCUUGUGUUCGUUGUCUCAAUAAAAAACGACAAGACUUGGGCAAUUUGCAUGAUCAUCUAUUUAUGUUCGGCAUAACGAGAACGUAUACGGUUUGGACUUGGCAUGGAGAAGCACUAGACCAACCUAUGACGUCACGAGGAACAAAUUAUUUAGAAGAAUGAAUGAGUAAUCAUUUAGAGGACAUGAUACGUGAUGUUGGUGAAGAUAACUUUAGAAGAGCUAAUUUGUACGAUUCUAUAAUCAAUGAUUCUGAGCAACCGUUGUACCUAGGUUGCACGAACUUUACACGUUUAUCUGCAACUUUGAAGUUGUUCAGUUUAAAAGCAAGGAAUGGAUGGACCAAUAAAAGUUUCACGGAGUUGUUGGAGUUGCUGAAGGACAUGCUUCCAGAAAAUAAUACUUUUCCUAUUCGAAAUUACGAGCCAAAAAAGUUUUAUGUCAAAUGGGCCUUGAAUAUCAGAAGAUACAUGCUUGGCCCAAUGAUUGUGUUUUGUACAUCAAGGAGUUUGUUUCACUAAAGUACUGUCCAACAUGUGGUUUAAGCCGUUUUAAAAAGAAAUCUGACAAAAACACUACUGAAGAAUGUAAUGAUGGUGCACUUAGUAAGGUCAUGUGGUAUUUGCCUAUAAUACCUAGGUUCAAAAAAAUAUUCUCUAUUAAGGAGGAUGCAAAGAACCUUAAAUGACACGUUUUAGGAAGAAAGUGCGAUAAUCUUCUUCGACACCCGGCAGACUCACCACAGCGGAAAAAGAUCGAGGAAACAUUUCCAGAAUUUGGGGCAGAUCCAAGAAACUUAAGACUUGCACUUGCAACUGAUGGCAUGAAUCCGUACGGGAACUUAAGUAGUAAACACAGUUCAUGGCCAGUUAUGUUGAUGAUAUACAAUCUUUCUCCUUUGUUGUGCAUGAAGAGAAAAUAUGUGAUGUUGUCAAUGAUGAUAUCUGGUCCUAAACAACCUGGCAAUGACAUUGAUGUUUACUUGAAACCUUUAAUUGAUGACUUGAAAUUGUUGUGGGAAGAAGGUGUCAAAGUGUUUGAUUCAGAUGUUGAAGAGAAUUUCCAUAUGUGUGCAAUGUUGUUUUGCACUAUAAAUGAUUUCCCAGCCUAUGGAAACUUGAGCGAUUAUAGUGUUAAAGGACAUUUUGCAUGUCUGAUUUGUGAAGAAAACACCAGUUACCUUCAAUUGAAGCAUGGUCAGAAGACGGUUUACAUAAGACAUCGAAAAUUCCUUCAUCGCAAUCACCCAUAUCGUAGAUUGAAAAAAGCAUUCAAUGGAAGUGCCGAGGAUGCGGUUGUGUGUAGACCCCAGAAUGGUGAACAGGUGUACCAGGAAGUCAAAAUCAUUGACAUUGUAUUUGGAAAACAUCGUAAAAGUACAUAUCCAAAAAUUGUUUGGAAGAAAGGAUCAAUAUUUUUUAAUCUUCCUUAUUGGUCUUUACUUGAUGUUAGACAUUGUAUUGAUGUGAUGCACGUAGAAAAAAAUGUUUGUGACAAUGUCAUCAGAACUUUAUUAAACGUCAAAGGGAAGACCAAAGAUGGAAUAAAACCAAGACAAGAUUUGGCUAACAUGGGAGUUCGAACAGAGUUACAUCCACAAACAAUAGGUAGAAGUGUGAAGGUUCCACAAAUUUUCCCCCAGCCUGUCAUACUCUUUCUAAAAAAGAAAAACAAAGGUUUUGUAAGUCUUUAAGAAGUGUGAAGGUUCCACAAGGUUAUUCUUCUAAUAUUAGUAACCUCGUUUCUAUGCAAGAGCUAAAGUUAGUUGGUUUAAAGUCUCAUGAUUGUCAUAUAUUGAUGCAACAAUUGUUACCAGAUGUUAUUCGAGGCAUAUUACCUCCUUCUGUUAGGGGUAUUCUGACACGUCUGUGCUUUUUUUUUAAUGCCGUUUGCAAGAAAGUUGUUGACCCUGGAUGUUUAGAUCAAUUGGAAAAUGAAGGAAUAAGACUACUAUGUGAAUUGGAGAUGUAUUUUCCACCUUUUUUUGAUAUCAUGGUUCGUUUGAUCGUUCAUCUAGUCCGAGAAAUUCGAAUAUGUGGGCCGGUUUACCUCAGGUGGAUGUAUCCUGUUGAAAGAUACAUGAAAAUCUUAAAGGGAUAUGUCAAGAAUCAGUAUAGACCAGAAGCUUCAAUCAUUGAGCGAUACAUUGCAGAAGAAGCCAUUGAAUUUUGUUCAGCUUACAUGCCAAGUUGUGAACCAGUGGGUCUACCGAAGAGCAUACAUGAAGGAAAAUGUGAAGGUAAGGGUCGUGGCGUGAGGAUUCAACGUGUGAGUAGACAAGAAUUUUAUCAAGCUUAUUUGUACAUCUUAAACAACCCUGAUGAUGUUAUUCCUUACAUUUAUGAACACGUUAAUGAAAUAAAGGCAUCACACCCAAGAAUGAGUGAAAAAUGACAGCUUAAUGAACAUGUCAAAACCUUUUUACCAUGGUUUAAGAAAAAGAUUUAAGCGACUCCAAAUGUUUAUGAAACUCUAUUGAGGUUAUCUCGGGGGCCAAACACAGACGUCAUUACAUAUGGUGGGUACUAUAUUAACAAUAUAUCUUUUCAAACAAAGGAAGAAGAUGACAAAAGUAGAGUUCAAAAUAGUGGGGUUACACUAAAAGCUGAGUCAGUGCACUUCUCUAGUUCUAAAGACAAAAAUUCAAUCACUGCAUCAAUUAGUUAUUUUGGAGUAAUACAAGAAAUAUGGGAGGUGGAUUAUGUGAGGUUUAGAGUCCCCAUAUUCAAGUGUAAAUGGGUGGAUAUAUAUUCUGGAAUGAUUACAGAUGGCUCUGGUUUCACAUUGGUAGAUCUUAAGAAAAUGAGUUUCACUAAUGAACCAUUUAUUAUGGCAAGUCAAGCAAGGCAAAUAUUCUACGUCAGCGAUCCAACAAAUGAAAAAUGGUCAAUGGUUUUGGAAGGGAAAAACCACCACGGUUUUGAUGAUGAAGAAUUUCUUUGUGUACUUCAGACAACAUGUAGCACAUCAAGACCCAUUGAAGACUCAAUUGAUGAUGUUGCCGAUGACAUACAUGCAAUUCGUAGUGAUCAUGAUGAAGGGAUCUGGGAGAAAACAAUAUCUUAAUAAGUAACGUCUUGUUUUUGGUUUAGACUUUCUAUGAAUUUAUAUUUACAUGAAAAUUUCAAUUUCAAUUCAUAAUAACUAACCUUGUAUAUAUUUUUCAGGUAUGUCGACCUCAGACUCAGCAUCAGCACAGAGCAGACGUACACGAGGAGUGACACGUUUUCCAGAAAUGACAUUUGGACAGGUUCCUGGGCAGAGGAAACAUUUUGAGAUUGACACAAGAAUCGGUCUGGCAUCAAGGCCAAAUGCAAAUAAUUUUAGUAGUUAUCUGAGAUAGCCAAAACCCAUGUUUCUAUCCUUCAUGCAACUUGGGAUGACGUCCUAGAGGUCGAGAAGAACCUUUUAUGGCAAGAUGUUCAGGUAUGGUGACUUAAAAGAAAUUUUAUAUAAUUAUUUCUUUGAUUUUAUUAUGUCAUUAACACGUUCGUUGUUUUAAACAGCUAAAAUAUGAUGUUCCAAACACCAAGGACAUGAGGCAGAAAAUCUUAUCGCACAUAUGUAAGAGAUGGAGGGAUUUCAAGACAAGGCUGACACAUCUGUAUGUAUUUGGAAAAAGAAAACAUGAGAAUCCAUCUCAGAAUUAUUCCUUCACAAAAGAAGAAUAGAACCAGUUUCGUCAAUCUAGAAAGAGUGAGGAAUGGAAGGUAUUUAUCUUAAACAACAAGGUCUUCAAAGCAGUUUUAAUUAUUAUAUAGUUAUGCGUAAAAAUUGUUUUACAGGAUAAAAGGUUAGCCGCCCAAGAAAGGCAAAGGCUAAAUGAUGCACCACACGUGUUAUCACGAGGUGGUUAUGCGAAACUGGAGUAGAAACUUAGGAAAGAUCGAGCGGAUGAGUUGGGGCUUGAGUUCCCGGACCAAGCACCUCCACCUACAAGGUACGAGAUGUGGAAGGUUGCUCGGACAAAAUCUGAUGGGAACAUGACAUCUGCCUCAGCCUUAGCGAUCUCACAGAGAAUUGUAAGUUCAAUUGUAAACAUUACUUUAUUGUAUUUUUAUCAUAUCUUGCAAUUUAAGUAACGUAAAUUUUUUAUCAUAUGUGCAGGAUGAGUUGGUUGAGCAGCAGACACAGGGAACAUUUACUCCCCAAGGUAGGGAGGACAUUUUAACAAUGACCAUUGGCAAACCGGAGCACCCAGGACGUGUACGUGCAGUUCCUGGGUCCAUUGGUCUUUAUGAGUACUUUGGCCCUGUACAAAAAACAACUUAAUCAACGAAUCAGGAGGCACUGAGGCAGAUGGAUCUUUAGUGGGAACAAAGAAUUCGUCAAAUGGAGCAACGCUUCACUGAGCAACUAGAAGAACAAAAACAAUACGAAGAGCGCUUGAAGAGAAGUUGCAAUCCAUGACGCACGCCACCAUGGGUGUGUCCACUGAAACUCCCACACCACCUCCUGCCAACACUAAAGGAUCCUGCUCUACUGUUGAACCUACUGACUAUAUUGCUCAGUAUGACUUGUUGGUUGAUGGGGAUCCCGCACCCAUUGUGGCUGUGGGAUGAGUAGCUGAGGGAGGCCAGACUAUUCAUGGUGUUCCCAUAUCACCCGACCACGUGCGUGUCAUGAUUGACGAGUGAUGAGUCGAUAUUUUAUACCAUUAACUUAGUUUUUCGCGCCGAAUUGUGUUGAUGAUUUGCGCUUAAUUCUUAGUUAUUGUGUCAUUUUCACUAUUUGGGUUUAAUUAGACCAAUAAUUCUUAUUUUAAUUAAUUUGAAUUAUUUGAGCUUGAUUAUUCCUAUUUUCAUUUUCAGGGAAAUUUUGGAAAUACACUGGGAGACUUUUGGAAGGGCAUAAGCAAUUGAAGAAUUUUUACAAUUUCUUUUUAGAAUUAAUUAAACUUUAAUCUAGUGUUUUAGAAUUUGUAGACUUAGGUUUUAUGAUUUUGGGCCAAUUUUUGGUAGUGUAGGCAAAGCCCAAGUUGUAAAAAAACUUGACAUAGCUUUAGGGUUUGGGUGGACCCCACCCUAGUUUUUUUUGACACACAAUUCUCGGACCAUUGGGAGGACUGCCGUCACCUUGCAGAGGAUUUUUUUCUCUCGGGAUUUUUUGGUUUUCAAUGGGUUUUUGGGCUGGAAAACUCUCUUAGCCGAGAGAACAUGAUGUUCUUGAUGAUAUAAACCUUGCUUUUGAAGUUGAAUGCAAUCUUACGUUAUUUUACUUUGAUGGAAUGAAUGGCAUGAUUUCUUUUGUUCUCCUUUCCUUGCUGUCACCAUUAUAUUAAAAGGCUAGUUCCUUUCUCGGAGGAAUGAAGAUUGAUUGAUUUGGUGGCUGCAGCAUUGCUAUUCAACUAAGCUUGUUAUUCGUGCAUUUAAUGAAUUGAAAAGUAGAUAGAUGAUGGUGUUUACGGUUUCUGCUGAGUGAGAAUGAAGUGUGGGGUCCGGUUGUGAUUGAAGAGGUAAUUAGAAUGGAGUCAAGGAUGGGACGUUGUGCUAUUGAGGCAGAGAUGGAAGUUGUUCUUUGGUGAUUGAGCUGGAGGUGUCCCGUUUGGAGGAAGGGAGCAUGUUCCAGAAUUUUGUGGCAGCUGUUUCGUCCAAUGCAUCCAGUUUUUCCUUGCUCGGUUUGCUAUUAAAUAUGAUGCAACGUUCAUUUGAUAUGCAGCCACACAAUUUCUCGGUCCAGAUUUUUUAUUGGGUUGCUUAAAAAGUAACAACUUAUUCUUGGGAAUAUAAGAGAGACUAUUAGGUUUUCAAGGUGGAGUUAAACAAAUGCAUCUUUUUAUUAGGUGUCACGGCUGGAGCAUAUUAUGAUUAAUUGAUUCUGAAAUUGUGGAAAUGGAAUUUGGAAGAAACACGUUGCCUAGCUACAGGAUGAUGGGAUGCCACGGUUUGACAAUUACUUUCUUUUAGAAUGAAAAGCAUUGCAUUUGAAACAUUUUUGGAUGCCACGGUUAUGAUGCUGGUGCACGGUUUCAGCCAAGAAAAAUGGGUCACGGCAAUGAGUGUUAUUUCAAUGGUAUUACAAUUUCAAGUUUUCUUGGGUAAAUAUCAUUUGGUCACGUGAGUGAUAGGAAAAAUUGUGUUUGUUUAUUUCUUUUGCUUUAAUUUAAUUUNNNNNNNNNNNNNNNNNNNNNNNNNNNNNNNNNNNNNNNNNNNNNNNNNNNNNNNNNNNNNNNNNNNNNNNNNNNNNNNNNNNNNNNNNNNNNNNNNNNNNNNNNNNNNNNNNNNNNNNNNNNNNNNNNNNNNNNNNNNNNNNNNNNNNNNNNNNNNNNNNNNNNNNNNNNNNNNNNNNNNNNNNNNNNNNNNNNNNNNNNNNNNNNNNNNNNNNNNNNNNNNNNNNNNNNNNNNNNNNNNNNNNNNNNNNNNNNNNNNNNNNNNNNNNNNNNNNNNNNNNNNNNNNNNNNNNNNNNNNNNNNNNNNNNNNNNNNNNNNNNNNNNNNNNNNNNNNNNNNNNNNNNNNNNNNNNNNNNNNNNNNNNNNNNNNNNNNNNNNNNNNNNNNNNNNNNNNNNNNNNNNNNNNNNNNNNNNNNNNNNNNNNNNNNNNNNNNNNNNNNNNNNNNNNNNNNNNNNNNNNNNNNNNNNNNNNNNNNNNNNNNNNNNNNNNNNNNNNNNNNNNNNNNNNNNNNNNGAUAGGAACUUUUUUAGCCUGGCCUAGAGCAUUGGUUAUCACACACAUUGGUACACAACAGGUAUAAUAUUGUUAUCUUUACUAAUUUUAUAUUAUCAUUUAAAAAUAUUUGUUGAUAACUUUGAAAAUUUUAUGUUCAGUUCACACGUCCUCAAAAGCAACCGAUGCAUGAGGCACCAAUACCUGAAUAUGAUGAUGCUGAUGAUGGUGAUGACACGACUGAAGCAAAAGAUAAUCCCAUAGCAAAGCUAAUGUCAAACCUUCCCAAGUUCAACAAAGGAUCAAUACAAAUAUACUGGGAAUUACGAGUAUUUGGUCUCCCCCCCAUAUGCCAGUAUAUAUCACAUUCAAUGAUGUAUCGAAGAUCAUCCAGGGAGACAAGGAGUUGAAUAUUUCCAUUAUUCAACUAUGGUGAGAUAGUUAAUUUUGUCAACCAUAAUAGUUUAAUUUAGAUGCCUACUUUGUAACAAGUUAACUUUGUUGUUAUAGGUACAUGAACACAGUCAUUGUAGACCAAGGUCGGUCUUCCGUUUAUGGAUUUGUUGAACCUCAGACCAUUGAACGUUGUGGUAACACAGCUGAAAUAAAGCAAGAUGAUUUGCAAACAUGGAUGGCUGAGUCAAAUAGAGACAUAUACCUUGUGCCAUACAUUGAUGGGUAUGUGUUGUUUUAUGUAAAAGGUAAUUAAAUGUUUCCUUAAUUAGUUUACUAACUAUUUAUGAUGUUCCAAACAGGGCUCACUGGCAACUGGUGGUCCUCAUUCCCAAACAAAGUACAGUUGUCUUCUUCUGUUCGCUGCAAAGGAAGAUGAAAAAUGACUUGAAAACCUUGCUUCAAGGGUAAGUGUAUCUCUAAAAAUGACUUUUAAAUUCAUGUCGGCCUUAAUUUUUUAUGAUUUCAUACUUAUAUUCAUAUUACUUUCUGUUUUAAUGUAAAUAGAGUAAUGGGUAAAUCUCGAGGUCAGCUAAAUCAAGUCUUGUAUCCCAAGGUUUGGUGCAUUUAUAGUUUUAAUUCAUUUACUGUUAUUCAAUGAUCUUAAUUCUUGACUAUAUUUAAUUUGUCAUUUUAGUGUAACAAACAGCUAGAUUCAUGGGAAUGUGGGUACUAUGUGAUGUCUUGGAUUAAGACCAUCAUUCGAGCUGACAUUACAGAUAGCUGGAGUGAGGUAAUAAUAAGGCUUACUUUUAAAACAUAAAAAAUCAUUUAAUUCUUUUGAACAUAUAUGAAACCAUAAUCAAUAUUUCUUUAUUGUGCAGCGCUUCAACAAUCCAUAUGCUUUACCCCAAGACACGAUAAAGCAACUAAGGCAGGAGUGGGCAACUUAUCUUCUCCAAAAUUGGAACUAGAGCAAGACUUAUUUUUGUUGUUUUGAAUUACUUAGGUUUAAGUUUAGUUUAAGUUUAUAAUUUCAUUUUUUUGAUCUUUGAUUGAAUUAUAUCUAUUUAUAGCUCAAACAAACAAUUCUUUAUUAUAAACAAUUGUUCUGGGAUAUUUUUCUGAAUUUCAGGUGCGGUUAUAGUCGAAAAAUAAAAAUUUUAUUUAAAAAAAAUACCCAGUAGACGUCGGUUAAUGCAAAACUGACGUCUCUAGACGUCUAUCAAUGCAUAACGCGACGUCCAAUAAGUAAUAGUGGACAAAACGAUCCAGUGCGUACAAACGUCACUUUUGUUGACCACUGACGUCUAUGUUAACGUCUAUUGUGGCUACGCAUGACGUCUAUGUAGACGUCAGAUGUUUACAAAGCCGACGUCUAGAUAGACGUCUGUCAUUACCUAACUGAUGUUAAGUUAACGUCACUGAAAUAGACGUUGGUUCCUUAAGUGACGUCAAAAGUCCAAAAUAGCCGACGUUAAAUAGCGUUUUUCCACUAGUGAAUUAGCGGGACUCACAAAUUUUUUGAAAAAAAAAUUGAAAAUAUAUUUUUGUUAUGAACUUCACAAAAAGUAAUAAGAAAACGCAGAAAAUGUUCAAAUUUCUAAUAGUAAUUAUUUUCAUAGAGUAUUUUAUUACUAAAUGAAAAUAAAUAAAAUUAAUUAGUAUUCAUGUAAACCAUUAAAUUGUAUUAAUUAGGACUGUUUCAAUUUCGUUACGAAAAAUUAACANACUUGGUAUCCAAAAAUAAAGAUAUUGCAAAUAGUACAAUUUCUUCAAAACAAUUGCAUUGUGAAAUGCAUUUUCAGAGAACUUUCUUAACUUUUUUUAUCUUUCAAAUUUUAACUUGGAACUCUUUCAUUAUUUGUAAGGAUGNAUUUGAUGGUUUGGUUCUUCAUAUAAUAUUGUGAAAAUUUAAAAUGAAAAUUCACAAGUCUUCGAAGUCAAUUGACUUUGGAAUGAAAUUAUUGUCCUAAAAAAAGAGUUCGAUGAGUGAUUUAUUCCACAACCACCAAAUUUGUCUCAUACUAUAAAAGCAACAGCAUUUCAUUUGGUAGCAAUUUCGAAGUAGAUGCUACGUAAUUUAUAGUGUAUAUUCUAUGCAUCAGAUAAAUUAAGUUUAUAGUGAUUAAAAAAAUACCUUUUAUCAUAUGGGUACAUUUCUUAACAAAUAAACUGUGGAAAUAGUUUAUCUUUUUGAGUUUAAUAUAUAAGUAGAGCACCUUAUUCUUCACUUUCCGACUCAUGUUAACUUAGUUUAUUAUGGCUUCUUAUAUAUUAUGGCUUAGUAACACAUCAUAGGUAAAAGCAUGGAAAAUAGGUGUUGGUAUUUGGUGGACUUUAAGCGCGUUUUUUGGACCUGCUGCCAUUUUAAUUCCUAUAAUAAUAACGAUAGUGGUGGAAAAUGGUUUAUUUAUUUUUAUAUAAAAGUGUGUUUUAGGAUGUGUAAGUUACCCUUCUUUCUCAAGUCUUCCGAUAAGUCAAUUGAUUGGAAUAUAAUUUUUGCCCUAAAAUAGUUCUCACCAUUAAUUUUUUAAUGGUCAUAGUUAUAAUUGAAUGUAAACCAUUAUUUCUGUAAUAGUUAGAAACUUAUAUAAAGAGUUUCUUUAUUCAAAAGAUAUAAUAUAAUAAGUAGUUUGUUAUAAAGUUUCUUCCCUUCUCCUAUUUUAAGUAUUUUUAGUGAAUUUAGGAAUCAACAAAUUCUUGUUCCUACAUCUGGUAUCAGAGCCAGAUCAAAUAUUUGUGAUUACAUCAUGGCAAGUAACAUUCAAGUUCCACUUCCAAAAUUGACUGCUGAAAAUUAUGAUACCUGGGCAAUCUAGUUGAAGGUAUAUUUCCGCUCUCAUGAUUUGUGGGAUUUGGUGGAAAAAGGCUUUGAAGAUGUUACAGACUCAACAACAUUUGAGUCCCUUAGUAGAGAGGAGAAGGACGCAUUGAUAGAAACACGUAAAAAGGAUCAGAAGCAUUGUAUUCUAUUUUCUUAGCAGUUGAACAAAAGACGAUAUUUCAAAAGAUAUCAUUCGCAGAAACAUCACAUGCAGCAUGGGAUAUUCUGCAGAAAUCCCUCAAAGGUGAUGAUAGAGUCAGACAAGUUCGUUUGCGAACACUUCGAGGCACUUUUGAGAACUUGCGCAUGGUCGAGGAAGAAACAAUUUGAGAAAUAGGAAAGGUGCUUGGAAGGUGGCGAGAGAGAGUCUUUGGACUCUCUAGCCUAUGACUUUCAAGAGAGAAUUAUUUUCUGAUUCAGAAAUUCUAAUUCUCAUUAUUAUUCUCAAAAGUGAAAAUACAAUAGAGGAGCUGGGUAUUUAUAGUGACCCAAGCUCCUUGCAAGCUAAGCUACAGAUACAAUAAAAUAUAAAAAUACGACUAAGAGGACUAUGUCAGGAAGGAUUCCAUCACAAAGUCUUCAAAAGUUUUGCAUUUCUCUUCUCGCACAAACUCUCGCCUGUCACUGUUGUUCUUCAACCCCUGCUUGUUUCGUGUUAUUAAUUCUCAGGUUAUAUUAAAAAGUGAGGUUACUAUUUAAUUAUAGUUAAAAUGGAUUUGGGGUUUCUUUAGAUCCAGGGGUUGAUUAUGUUUAGGGUUUUGUUAUUAAAUUUUUUUUCCUAAACCCAGAUCCUCUUCUCUUUCUGAUUCUAAUUAAGGGUUCAUGUUUUUUUUGUCCUUUUGGAGGUUCAGGUUCCACCUCUUUCCCUUGAACGCGCUAAGUAGAGGCUGAAGCUUCUUCCCUUUCUUUUCUUGCUUUCUCGUGAGCACGAGCAGCGAGAGUGUUGUGAUGGAGGUGAGUGACCAGCAAAGACGUGGAGAGACGUGGUUGGGUGCGAAUGGGGUUGCGAUGACGGACAAAGGUGGCAGUGGCGCAUUUUAGAUUAUUCAUGAUGAUGAAAUAGAGAGUGAAUAGUAUAGAAUUAGAUUGAUAUGUGUUGUGAAUUAAGCACUUCCAAUACCCACAUUUAUACUCACACCAACUCCUUCAUUAUUACCUAUUCUGUUCUAAUUUUUAUUCAUCAUAUCAACUAUUUUUGUGGUCAAAAAAUAUCUAUCGACUUCGAAGAAGACUUGUGUAUUUUCAAUUUAAACGACAAUAUUAUACGAAAAAAAAAAAACAUCAAACUCGUCCUUACAAAUAAUUAAUGAAUUGGAAGUUAAUAUUUGAAAACAAAAUUAAGAAAGUGCUCGGAAAAUACACUUCAAAAUGCAAUUAUCUGUCCAACAAAUUGUACGUUUGGAAUAUAUUUUUAUUUGUGACUACCAAGAUGGUCCAUUUUCCUAACAACAUAGAAAGAUUAGUACUUUUAAAAUAUUAUUUUCUGAUUUUUUACAAAAUCUCCCUUAAUAUAUAUUAAAAAAAGGAUUGGAGACCAACCAAGUCUCACUCAAUUUUGAAUUGAGAGGAAUCAUUCUGUUAUGUGGAAUCCGAAUCCAAGUGAUUUUUGAUAUCCUUUCAGUAGGCUACCCUCACAACCCUUUUGAUCUUCAACAAUAAUUCCAUUUCUUCCUUUACACUACUUCACAACAAUAAUCCAGAUUUCCUCUGCCAAAAAUUAAACAAAUAAUUAAUUUUCCCAAAAUUAAAAACAACAAAACAUAAAUAAUAANUAGUGAAUGACAAAUUAAAAUUUGAUGUUAUUAAUUUUUUUAAACUAAAUAAUAUCUUGAUAAUCAGUAACAAUAAUUAUGAUGUAUUAAUAUAAAAACAUAUUGUAUAUACAAUCGUUUAUGUUUAUACAAUUUUUGGCUUUAAAUGUGUUUUUUUUUUUAAAUUUAAAAUACAUUCUGAUUUUUAUUUGGUCUGUAAUAAAAAAUUACUUUUUGUUUCCUGUCUCUUUUUUAUACAUUCUGUUAAGUAUUUUCUGAAAUANNNNNNNNNNNNNNNNNNNNNNNNNNNNNNNNNNNNNNNNNNNNNNNNNNNNNNNNNNNNNNNNNNNNNNNNNNNNNNNNNNNNNNNNNNNNNNNNNNNNNNNNNNNNNNNNNNNNNNNNNNNNNNNNNNNNNNNNNNNNNNNNNNNNNNNNNNNNNNNNNNNNNNNNNNNNNNNNNNNNNNNNNNNNNNNNNNNNNNNNNNNNNNNNNNNNNNNNNNNNNNNNNGGUUAAAAUUGUUUAUUAAAAUAAUAAUAAUAAUAAUAAUAAUAGUAAUAGUAAUAAUAAUAAAGAAAAAAAUAUUAAUUUUGUAACAUAAGGUUAAAAUAAAUUACCUGCUAUGUUGUGUGCAAUCUCUUCAAAAUUUUCACUACCGUCAUGACAUAAAGACAAUCUGAUAAAUUAAUUAAGAAUUCAAAAUAUGCAUGACGCCAAGAAGGUAUUAUUAAGAUUGAGCCAAACACUCCCCAAAAGCUUAUAACAAAUCCAAUUGUCAUACUUAUAUAAUAUUCACGAUUGAAAAUCAAAUUGUCAUCCUCUUGAAAUUUAANNAUUGGUCCUUGUCUUGCCACUCCAUCAAUGCACAAUUUCUUUAAUGGUGGUCCACAGAGAUCAACAUUAUCUUCAUAUUUUGAUGCAUCGAAACUCUGUAAUUGUGUGCCAGUUGGAAUUUUUCCAGAUAAAUAAUUAUGUGACAAAUCUAACAUGGUGAGUCGAUCGAUUUGAGUAAGACUUGAAGGAAUAAAACCAACAAGUUGGUUUUGUGACAAAUCAAGAAAUUCAAGUGAUCUUAACUUUCCAACAUUUGAAGGAAUUUUUCCUGUCAAUUGGUUUCUUGAUAAAUUCAAUGACACCAAUCCAAAUAAACCCUCUAUUUCUUUUGGAAUUUCUCCUGAUAAUUGAUUGCUGGAGAGAUCAAUGCUAUUUAAAAGUGAUAAUCCCAUGUCUGUGAACAUUUGUUCUGAACCUUUCCACAUCAAGAUUGCAUUCAAAUCAUAUGAACUGCGACCUGAGGUAAAAUUAGUGCUGAAGGAAUAAGAAUGACGUUGAUAAUCUCUCAAAGAAGUCAUUUGAGCCAUUGAGGAAAAGUUUUUUAUACAUGUAGGAAUUUCUCCAGAUAGGUUGUUUUGCGAGAGAUCUAAGAGUUGAAUGCUUUUUAGAUAACAAAUUUGUAACGGUAAACUCCCACGAAAAUAGUUGCUUCUUAAGCUUAAAAAUUGCAACUGCGAUAAUUCGUUCCCGAUCCAAUUUGGGAUAGAUCCUGAUAAUCUAUUUUCUGCUAUGUCUAUCAUCACCAAUUGUGUGCAAUUCUUCAAGAUGGAAGGGAUUUCACCUGUUAAGUUAUUGUUUCUCAAUAACAAAACUUGAAGUUCAACGAGUGAUCCCAUUGAAGAAGGAAUCUCUCCUGAAAACUUGUUCUGACUCAUAUUUAAGUAAGUCAAUGACUUAAAUUGGGUCCAACAGUCUGGAAUUUGUCCAGAAAAUUUGUUAUUUGAAAGGUCUAAUUGGUAUAAAGUUUCAACUACACCACUAGGGCAUAAAAUCGAAAACGAAUUUGUGAAUUUAUUGUUUGAUAAAUCAAGAAAUAUUGAGCCUCGUAAAAAUGGUGGAACAUGACCUUCAAAUUGAUUUGAUGCAAGACUAAGAGAAUCAUAAUAAUUCUCUAUUGGCAAAUUUGGAAUCGUACCUUGUAAAUUAUUAUAUGAAAUAUCAAUACGCUUCUGAUUUGACAAUCCAUAUUUUGUCCAAAACCAUUUUGGAACGGUACCUGAUAUUCCACUAUUUGAAAUGUCAAGGGUGUCAAAUUGGUUUUGUUUCUCUAGCCAUUUGGGAAACAAUGGACCAAGCUUGCAAGACCUUAAUUCAAUAGUAUAUAAUUGAAAAGGCGGAGUCCAAUUUUGACUAAAUUCUAACGUCAGUGAGUUAUCUGACAACAUCAAUGUUGUUAACUUUGUCAUAUUAUAAAAAUGAGAGUCAGUUAACACACCUUUCAAAGAGUUUGACGUCAAGUAUAGUACCUCAAGUUCUGCUGGAAAUCGAAGAUCUUCAGAAAUUGUCCCAUUUAACUUGUUACUAUCAAGGUACAAUCCUUUUAAUGAUGGGAACAUUGUGGCGAGGUUGCUAGGCAAAGUACCACUAAUUUGAUUCAUACUCAGAUCUAAUUGUUGCAAUGAGUAUGUAUAACAUCCAGACAAAUGAUUAAAUAUCACUGUGAGAUCUUCACUCAACUUGUUGGAAGAUAAAUCCAAUAACUCCAAUGUACAUGUGUUUCCAAAUGAUUUUGGAACACCACCUUCUAAAGAGUUAGAUCCAAUUAACAACUGCUCCAAAUGAGAUGGCAAACUAGUCCCUUCAGGUAUCUUCCCACUUAAUUGAUUGUCAGAAAGAUCCAACACUUUUAAAUUUGAAAAUGCUGAAAGGUCAGGUACGGAACCUCUGAUUUGAUUGCUUGCCAAAUUCAAUUCUUGUAAUGAGUAUCUAGAACAUCCAGACAAAUGAUUAAAUAUGACGGUAAGAUCUUCACUCAACAUAUUAUAAGACAAAUCCAAUAACUUCAAAGUACAUGUGCUCCCAAAUGAUGUUGGAACACCACCUUCUAAAGAGUUAGUGCCUUCAGGUAUCUUCCCACUCAAUUGAUUAAGAGAAAGAUCCAACGUUUUUAAAUUUGAAAAUGCUGAAAGGUGAGAGAUGGAGCCUCUGAUUUGAUUGGAUGCCAAAAUCAAAUGUUGUAAUGAGUAUCUAACACAACCACUAGACAAAUUAUGAAGAAUUGACGAAAGGUCUUCAGUCAUAUUGUUUCCAUACAUGUAUAAUGAACGUAGGGUGCAUAUAUUCAUGAAUGAUUUCAAAUCCUCACCAUUGAACAGAUUUCCAGACAGGAAAAGGUGCUCAAGCGAAUUCAUGGCCAAGCCAAACUGAUUUGACGUAAUACCCUUCAAGAGGUUCCAACUUAGAUCAAGCUCAACAAGGUUGGAAGUGGUGUUUGACAGCCACUGGAAUAUCAUCGGUUGCGUGAAGGAGUUUUUAGAAAGUCUAAGGACAGAAAGGGAAGUAGAAAAAUUGAAGUUGGAAGGGUUGAAUGAAAGGAGGAAAUGAUCGGAAAGGCCACAUCCAAUUAAACUGAGUUCUCUUAGUUUUGGUAGCUUGGCAAUGGUUCGAAGCCAGCUAGGAGAACUUUUAAAAUUAGAUGUGUAAUCGAAGGAAAGAUGGGUUAAAGAAUUGAGAUUAUAUAACCAUUGAUCACUAGUGACAAUUUUGAGAGCACUACGAUAUCCUCCAAGAUAGAGUUGAUGCAAAUUUGAAAGGUUUCCUAGUUGGGAAGGAAUGUAUCCUCCAAAAGAAUUGCCACUGAGAUCAAGAUACUCUAACCGAGAGAGAUUUCCAAUUUCACGAUGGAUUGAACCAUUCAAAUAGUAAUUUCUUGAUAGAUUCAAAUAUUUCAAAUGAGAAAGAGAACUUAUCUGAGUUGGAAUUUGUCCGCUAAAAUAAGAUGAAGAGAGAUCAAGAUAUCUCAAGUUGGUAAGAGAGCCAAGAAACUCUGGAAUAUUAGUGUCUUGAAAAUCAUUGAAACUGAGAUUCAAAUACUGUAAGUGUCGCAAUUCCAUUAACGACUUGUGGAUCUCUCCGCUGAUGUAACGCCAAGAGACUUCAUAAUAACCGCCAAGAGAAAGAGAUUCACUAUGCUGUCCAGGAAGGUGGAGGCUUAUAAUAUGAGCGGUGAGGUUNNUGCAGCGAAUCCCCUCCCAUUGGCAACAGUCGGGAGUGGUCCAAGAGGAGAGCAUGCCGAAGUCAUCAACAAUGGCAGCCUUGAAUAGAAGAAGUGCUUCCCUCUCUUUUGGAAUGCAUCGGAUAUGGUGUUGUCCAUAAGCAACCUGCAACACCACACUCACCACAAACAUAAACAUCAUUACUUUUAGAAUAUUCAUGAUGAUGAAAAAGAGAGAGUGAAUAGUAUAGAAUUAGAUUGAUGUGUGUUGUGAACUUAGAACUCCCAAUACCCACAUUUAUACUCACAUUAAACUCCUUAAUUACCUAUUCUGCUGUUCCAAGUCGUCGUCGUGUUUGCCUGUUUUCCAUUUUUAUAUUCAUCGUAUGAACUAAUUUUUGUGGUCCAUACAUAACAUUAUUAUGCAUUUCAUUAAUGCAUGUAAGAUUUCAAUAAUUUUAAUAAUAUCAAUUGACUUGGAAGAUGACUUGGAAAAAGACUUGUGUAUUUUCAUUUUAAACGACAAUAUUAUAUGAAAAAAAAAUUAAAAAGUACUCUGAAAAUGCAUUUAGCAAGGCAAUUGUUUUUUAACAAAUUGUAAUAUUUGCAAUAGCUUCUUUUAUGAAUAGCAAGAUGGUUAAUUUGACAUAGAAAGAGUUCUAAUUAAAACAGUCCAACAGUUUACAUAUGAGUAACAAAAUAACGUUAUUUAUUUCUAUGUAGAACUAAAACAUAUAAAAUAAAUGCCAUUACAAAAGUUUUUAGUUUGCGCGUUUUUUUCUUAUAAAAAUUUGUGAAAUUAUUCUUGUUACUUUUGUUUUAUAAAUUUUUUAAGUUCUACGAAACAAAUUUAUGUAAAUUAUUAAAAUCUAGAUACGUAAUAAGUUCGCUAUGGUAAAUUGUCUUAGUUACAAAUUAUAAAGAAAUAUUGACAAAUCAAAAAGGAAACUUCCUUUUUUCUAAGACAACAAAAUAUAAAUUAAUUAAUAUUUAAGAAAACAACAGCAAUUCUUUGUUACUUUUUCAAACAUAAAAUUUGUAAACCUUGUGAAUUUCUGUAAGGACCUUAAAAUAUGUAUAUGUGUAAAUAUAUAUAUUAAAAAGGAUUGGGGUAGAAUCUGAAUUAAGUAAAAGGAGAAGGACCUUUUUAAUAAAAAUAAUCGAAAGCAGUUUCUAGCUUUCUGCCGCUUUCUGCCAACUUCUAAAAGGCAAAAAGCUCAUUUUCAUUUGAACGUUCUUCUCUUUAGAACUCCAAAUCCUUACCUUCUUUGUCAUUUCUCUACCCUCUUCACUAAUUCAGCCACUACAUUGUUGUUUAGGUGACGUCCCUACGCUCCCAGAGUUGAGAGCUUCAAUUUGAACCGAUUGGAUUUUCGAUUCUGAUCGGUAAGUAGUUCUACCCUUUUCCUCACUGUUUUGGGAAUCUAGGGCAAGCUACAUGUGCCUAGAGUACCCUUCUUUUCGUCUUUCCUCUGUCCAUUCUAGCUCUAAGAGCUGUUUUUUUCACCCCUUUGGUGAUCUGUAGGGUUUAGCUGCACCCUUGUAGUGAGAGGUGCCGUAGAGAACGCUACUGUGAAAUCGUACUUUGCUCUGUGCUUUGAGAAACCAAGUGAGGGGAGCUAGAAUAAUUAUGUAUAUUUGUUGUAUAAACUGUGUGCAUGAUAAAUUCUGAAACUGUAUGUUGUUUUGGAGUGUUACUUGACAUUUUGAGUAUAUUGUGUUGUAUGCAUUGAACUGUGUAUUUUGUUAUCUGUCUUGAGAUGUAUGAACUGAGGGGAUGAGUUAAUUUGCUAUGAUUGAUUGGGUUGGAAAUGCUGGGGUGUGUCAUCCGUUAUUAGAGCAAUUGAGAAAAAGGGGUUAAGUGAAAUUAUAUUGUUUUAGGCACUGUUUAGAGGAAGUGAGGGGGUGAAAAUUUGAGUCAGGGGUCUGAGAUAGAAUGGGGUUGUUAGGACAUCUUAGGCAAGUCAUUUGUGACUUGUUAGGUGCAUUAAACUGGUCUAAAACUUAUGCAUGGUGGUAGAUUUAGAAUUUGGUCAUCUAGUUGAACAACUUGGUGUUUUUAGGCAUGAAUUGAAUCUUAAUCAACUUAAAAUCGUAGUAAGAAUGUUUUAAAACAAUUAGAUACGUUUAAGCAAGCCUUAAUCACAAAUUAAGGGUCUUAGAAGUUGGCUAGAAGGUCUAAAAUAGGAAGAGAGGGAGGGAGAUGCCCGAAAUCUGCAGAACUACAUUCUGCAGAUUCUGUAGAGUCACAUAACGCAUUGGAUGCGCUAUGCGAAUUUCGCUGGAAGGGCCUCCCAUGUAGGCCCUUUUGCCUAGCGCACAAGGGGGGGUGCGUUGAGCGAAACAUGUUGAGUUCGCCUUGCGCCCUGGUGCAUUGCGCGAUCACCGCCAACGUUUUUCACUCUUUUUCUUCUUCUGUUUGACAUGUUUGAUGUUGUUUGACUACUUUGGUGAAUGUAUGUUUAUGUACUUGAAUUGGAUGGCUUGAUUGAGGAUGAACUGAACAUCUCAGGGAGAGAUGAUUUGGAAAAAUUAUAAAGAUGGUGUUGUUGUAUGUAUAACUGUUGGGAGCUUUGAAAUGGUGUGUCUAUCCCUACUCUCAAAGCAUUGGUCAUACUCAAAUAGAGAAGGACAGUGUGAGUGGUGAGAGUAGAGGGAGGUCCUUGUCUAUAGUCCUUGAGUUUAGACAUAGACAGAUUAGGGGGAUUUACCUUGCAUAGUGUUGGGGAUGGGCCAGCUAAACUAUGCAAGUGCAAAGACGACCAAUAGCUAGACAGUUAUACAAAAAUCCGGAUGAGUCGUGUUGAGUAAUUGAUGCAUGGUGUGAAUGGUAUGCCUUGCUUGUUCUUUUUAUAUGUAAUUAAGCAUGAUGACCUUGAAUGAUUGUACUGUAUGUAUGUUGUUUGUUUAUCUAGCUCACCCUUGCAUUUGUGUUGUAUGUUGCUUGGGUAUGCUUUCUCUUGCGAUGAUCAUCCAUUUGGAUGGGAGCAGAUGUGGUUGAGGAGGUCUCCUUGGAACAACUGCUGGAGGAUGUUGAUGCUACUGCUUAGUUCUCUUUAGGAUUUCACUUCAUUAUCUUAUAUUAUUUUGAGGCACUUAUUAGGUUAAUUUGAAAGACUUUGUUAUUAUUAAAAGUUUAAAUUAGACCAUUAUGGAUGAUUGUAAUCUUCUAAUUAAUCGCAAUUUGCACUCUAGCUGUUCUCUUUAUUUGAAUGAUGACACCUAUUAUAUGAUUAUAAUUGUUAUAUAUAUUGGGAUAUCACAAUUUCUACUGUAAAAAUGAUUUAAAAGUGAUAUUUGUAGACAUUUUCUAUUUUAUUUUCAUCAUUUUGUUUUGCAUGCAAAAUUACUAAAUAAACACGGGAUGGUAUAUUUUUAAUUUUAACUAUUUUUACGUUAUAUUUGAAUAUUUAAUUUCUAAGUGUUCAAUUUCCCGUUCAAAUCACAGUGUUUUUCUUUUUUGUGGUCAUAUAAACUUCAGGCUCACUAAUACUUUUCAUUGUUUGUCAUAUCAUACUUAUGUGAUGGGUUUACUUUACAAUUUUCCAAGUUCUUCUGGGGAAAAUCUCACAACACACUCAGAUGUUUUUUUUCUAAAAUUAAGUUUAGUAUUCAUUGAUAAUUGAAGGGCUUUAAAUAACCAUGAUACUUACAAUACUAUGGAAAUAAAAAUAAAAUCUGAAAAUAAAAUAUCAACCAUCUUGAAAAUAAAAUCUGUUUAAUUUAUCAUAAAAUAAUAUUCUACCUAGAUAAAUAGAAAAUCAUAACUAUGUAUCCCUAUUUUAUCUCUAUCAAAUCAAACUAAAUAUUACUAUACCCAAAACUUAUAAAAUAAGAUUUAAACAAAAUUAUUAAUAAAACCCUAAAAUUUUAGUUUAUCCUAACAAACUGCUCCAUAAACUUAAAGUCUUCCUUCCUUUCUUUCCAUGUGCAUCAUCCCACUCCGGGUUUGCUUCUUUCAAUCAAAUUUGACUUCUUCUUUAUCCUUAUGGCCUUCUUGUCUUUUACCUUGGUUGACCUCUUUAAUGUUUUGACUGACUUUGUUAUGCCUGAAUUCUCAAUAACCUUAACCAACUCAUCUCUGACCUUAGGCGAUUUUUCAACAAUCUUGACCGACAUCUUCAUCGGGUUCUUUUCAACAUCUUCAUCGGGUUCUUUUCAACAUCUUCAUCUUCCUCUUCGUCUGGUUCAAGAACACUAGAUGUUUUCUCUUGUUUCUCAAGAGCCGCCUUCUUCAGCUCCUCAAGCUCAACCUUCUGUUUAUUCAUAAUUUCAUUAGCUUCAUCUAGAAGCCUCCCUAUUCGUUGAAUCUUUUCAUCUUUUCCUUUGAGUUCUUUCUCCAGGUUUUCCUUUUCCACAGUUGUUGCAUCCUUUACCAAGAUCACUUCAUCCAUUGUUGGGAUCGGGCUCUCCAUGUCCACUACACACGAGCUCUUUGCCAUAAAAUUCCACACGCUUCUUCAGCAUCUUCAGUAACAAGAUUUGUCUCCCCCUUUGUCUCGGUCUUGCAAUACUUUGCAAUAUGACCAACCUAUCCACAAUUGUAACCCUUUCUUGAUCUACACUAGUUUGCAUAGUGGCCAUGCUUGUCACACUUAAAACACUUAACUCUUGAUCGGUCUCCUCGGCCUUUUCCUUGUCCUCGGUCACCCCAAUUCUACUGACCAGUUUGCUCCUCAUUAUCAUUCUAAAAAUUACCUCGGCCACGUCCACCUCGUCCUUGGCCUCCUCACUCUCUUCUGCUAGGACCUCGGCUUUGAAUAAUCCGAUAAUUAUUUGAGUCAAACUGUACCUGUAGUGCUUGAUCGUCGGGUUCCCUCUUUUUCUUUUUCUUCCUCAAUUAGUGGGCUUUUAAUGACCCAGCUAACUCCUCCACAGUGAGAGUUGACAAAUCCUUUGUCUCUUAAAUAGUGACCACGAUACUUUAGAAAUCAUCUGUCAGAUUUCUCAAGAUCUUUUCCGCAACCCGAUUAGGAGGAACCUCUUCUCCGUUCAUUCCCAGUUCGUUGGCCAUCUUCUACACUCGAGUUAUAAACUCUGAAACUCCCUCAUUCUCAUCCAUCUCCAUAUGUUCAAACUCUUUUCUGAGAGCUUGCACUCAGACCUGCUUCACGCGGGUAUCUCCUUUGUAUGCCACCUUAAAAAUUUCCCAUGCUUCUUUUGCUGACUUUGCAUUAGCUAUUUUUUCGAAUCCAGAUUCAUCCACUGCAUUAUACAUAAAGUACAAAGUUGAUUUGUCUUUCACUCCUGUCUUUUUCAAUGCAGAGUCUGAUGCUCAUCAUCCGCGUGUUCAUUGUACCUGUCCUCCACUAUGUCCCAUACAUCUUGGGAUCCAAGAAGAACAUUCAUGUGCAAAGACCAAUUGUCAUAAUUGAUAUUUUCCGACAAUUGUGGCACACUCAUACCAUUGACUACCUUCGUCAUCUCUCACAAAAAAAAAAAAGAUAAGCACUCACUUUUUCUCUCACGGUAUUUGACUCUCUGCUUUCUCUCUUUUUCUCUCUCAGUAUUUAGAGCAUAAAGCUCUAUUACCCCUAAUGGGAAAAUCUCAGGAUACAUACUCAGAUAUUUUUCUAAAAUUGAGUAUAGUAUUCAUUGAUAAUUAAAGGGCUUUAAAUAGCAGUGAUACUUACAAUAUUACGGAAAUAAAAAUAAAAUUUAAAAAUAAAAUAUCAAUUGUCUUAAAAAUAAAAUAUGCUUAAUCUAUCAUAAAAUAAUAUUAUACCUAGAUAAACAGAAAAUCAUAACUACCUAUCCCUAUUUUAUCUCUAUCAAAUCAAACUAAAUAUUACUAUACUCAAAACUAAUAAAAUAAGAUUUAAACAAAAUUAUUUAUAAAACCCUAAAAUUUAAGUUUAUCCCAACAGUCCUCACCCUAAAUGUCAUUUCAACUCCUAUAUAAUACUUAAUUAGUUAAAUACAUCAUUAUCUAUUAUUGUGGAUUAAUGUUUUUCUUUUUAAAAUUAUAAUAUCUAUUCAAUUUACAUAAAGUAAUAACUUAAUUUACAUUAUGCAUAAAAUAAACUAAAAAUUACAAAGCAUCUACAAUGAAAUUGUUAUCAAAUGAAAUGUUAUUGGUUUUAUAGUAUGAACACAAGUUUAGUAUUUGUAGAAUAAAUGAAAUCGUGAGAAAAGUUUUUGAUGGAAGAACUGCUUCGAGAAGUGACUGAAGGCGCGAUCUGGACUCCUCGAGGCUUCCUCCGACGAGUAAUACGCAGCGAAAAAUGUUAACAACCUCUAGAUCAAGAGAGAAAUCGGAAGAAAACUGAUUUGAAAGGUUGAAAAUCCUAAUCGCGAAGAGAGAACAUGAGUUCGAGUGCGAACUCGCCUAAACAGAGAUCAGACUCUAAAAGGUUGAAAAUCCUUCGGGCAGGCGUUGUAGGGUGUUAAUACCUUCCCUCCACGUAACCAACUCUCGAACCCAAUCUUUGGUUUUCGUGGACCGUGCUUUAUCAUUUUAUGGUUUUUCCGUAGUUUUCCAGAAUAAACUAUGGUGGUGACUCCAAAACUCUUUUUCAAAAAUUGUUUUCUCUUUUGGAUCGUCGUCCCGUGCGAUUCUGGUUGCGACAGAGAGAAUGAGAAGUUACCAAAGAAAUAAUAAAGUGUGCAACUUUCAAGCUAACUUUUUUUGUUUAGGUCUAUGUAAGACUUUUUCUGUAAUUUUUUUUAUAAAGCUAUAAAAUUACAUGCGGAUUUUUCCGUAUGUAAAUUAUAUACAGAUAUUACAUACAGAUUUUUCCGUAUAUAAUUAUAUACAGUUUUUUCCGUAUAUAAUUAUAUACGGAUAUUACAUACGGAUUAUUCGUAUGUAAUUUAUAUACGGAUAUAUCCGUAUAUAACCUUAUCUACACCCUUCUUAUAUACGGAUUUUUUGUCGUAUGUAAUCCGUAUAUAAUACCACUUUAUAUACGAAUUUUGGAGGUUAUAUACGGUGUUUGGUCGUAUGUAAUAGUGAUUUUUCUUGUAGUGUAUUUGGAUGGUUGUUUCUAGCCUGCUCCAAGCUCCACACUGAGGUCUUGUUGCUGCUAUUUGCACCAAACCAAGAAUAGCAAAGAUCCAAGAAGAACAUAGCAAACACAAAUUGACAACUGUUACGUGAAACACAAUAGCAGCGUCAAAUUUAAAAUUUUGCACAUUGAGCCAACAACAAUCUUAUCUAUCUCGACUGGUGUAAUUAAAUGAAGAUAACAUCUUAAACAAGAGAUAAAAGCUGAGAUAGGUGCAAUGAUAAUUCAAAUUGGACACUUCCUAACCAAUGGUCUUUGCAUCUUGUUCAAACAACAAUAAUAACAUAUCAACAACAUCAAACAACCGAUAAUGUGGAAAGUGACUUAUCCAAACUGGUCAAAACAAAGUUGUAAUCUAAUUCAAAAUCAGUGCACUCAAAUCAAAGAAUGAAAGAUUGCUGGAAGUGAAUUUCUCAAUAAAAGAUAAGUGUAGUAGUAUGUGCAGUAACAAUUUUCAAAAGCCAAGCAAGAACAAGUCAAAUAAUUCACUCAUGAAAUUAGGAAUUCGAAAUUAAAACAAUGUUGAUGCAUAAAUGAAGAAGUUCAAAAUAAAUGCAAGAGCAAAUUAAAAUGAAUCCAAACACAACUGCUCUAGUUUGAUCACUCAAACUCUUUUGCCUGCACAAUGAUCAAUCUCAAAAUAGUUAGCAACAGUUAAGUAAAACUGAUUCUCUCAUACAAAUGUGCCAAGGAGAUUAGGCUAAAUCAGCCUCACAAAACUCACAACACUCAAGGCUUCUCUUUAAAAAUUUAAAGCACACAAAAUGGAAACGUUUGGAAGAGAGAUUCUCCCUUGGCAGUACAAAGUUGGAGAGUCUUUCAGACCACCACCACCUAAGAUGCUACCAAGCACACAACCUUUCAAAUUCCAAAAACCAGAAUGUACAACUUCUUAAACAAGAACAACUAGGCUAAGAUGAAUGUUAUGGAUAGAACAGGACAACCACCAACAAAGUAAGCACCAGAUAAUUAAAUUGGCAGCACAGUAGAUCUAGUACUUAAGACAAACUCUAGAUUAGAUUAUAAAAGCAAACAAAGCUCAAUUAGGAACGACAGAUAAGAGUUUACACGUGUGAUGUAGACACAACCUUAGACAGCCAACAAGACAAGCAAGAAAUAAGCUAUUUAGAACAAAAUGCACACAAAUUGAACCUACCAAUAGCUCUAGAACAGAUUAAAAAAACACAAGAAAAAUCCAAGCAAGUUGAAUCAUACAAGACCAAACAGAUUUUCAACUGAAAUAGAACAAUGCAUUGCCAAUUGCUCUAAAAUGUUCACUCCAAUCAAAUUAAAUGAAUCAGAAAUAGGAGAUAAACAUCAAGAGUGAAACUGUGUUGUGAAUUGCACUUGCCACUUGACUCUUUAUGUGGUUUUGUCAAUACUUCUUUUCUAAUUGCUUUUUCUUUUCAAAUCACAAGAUCUCAUGCUUUUAUCCUUUCACUUUCUUUUGCUAAUAUUCACAACAUAUAAUUUGAUUUCUAUUUCAAUUCAACUUCACAACAUAUGAGUCAUGAACAAUUGAUUCAACACAAAUAAAACCACAGAAUUGUUAACAAUACCAAAUGGAAAACACAAAUGACUCUAGGAUAUAAUGAAACUAGAAGUUGAGCAAUAAACUAAUACCAAGCUGAAUAGACACACUCAAAAACAAUAACACAAAAUUCAAAGAGAAACCAAUUUCGGUGUAACUGGCAAAAUAGAGACUGAUGUUGUUGUACGAUCUUGCACCCAAGCUCAAUGCAACAUUUCAUAGCUUAAUUGGUGUGAAUUUGCUAUUCACAAGCAUAUUCAACUUUCAGCUCAUAGAAUUUCAAAAGUGCAAUACAAUUACAUGUAAUGGACAUCAUUAAAACUCAAGAUAUCUUUAGAUAAAUGAAAUGACAUUUAAGCUGCUGUUAAAUUCUGUCAUCAAGCUCAUUCAAUUGAGUAUCACAGCUUAUGAUGAUGGACAAAUCUUACUCAAAGCAAUAAACACAAUUGAGUCACAGUUAAACUCAGAUUUAAUUGACAAUUAAUUCAAAACACAAGACUAGAACAUAACAGAAAUGGAUUUUCAAAUUAAAAGACUCAAACAAGAAGAUUCACCAAAAAAAUGAACAAAUUAUAAUGACUCAAAGGCACAGGACAAGCACAUGCAAUUAUAAAAUCCUAAACACAGAGAUUUGAAUCUCAAACAGAGAAAAUAAACUCAACAAAUACUUUAUCAACACAAGAGAUUGAAGGAAGAUAAUGAACAACGCGAAAAUGGAGAGAAACAACACAAGAUACUCAGAACCAAAAUCAAACAAAAAAUACAAAACUAGAAACAGAGACAGAGACGCGAAUCAAAACAAACUGAGAAUCAAAUCGAAACAAAACAUACCAAAUCAGAUAAGACCGAAUCAAAACAAAACACAAAACAAGAAGUGAGAUACUUACCUUUGACGCGUGAACGAAACCGAAGCUCUGAUGACCAAAUGAUGGAAGAGUUGUUUCGAGAAGUGACCGAAGGCGCGAUGCGGACUCCUCCAGGCUUCCUUCGACGAGUAAUACGCAGAUGAAAAUGUUAACAAUCUCUAAAUCAAGAGAGAAAUCAGAAUAAAACUUAUGUGAGCGAUUGAAAACCCUAAUUGCGAAGAGAGAACACGAGUUCGAGUACGAACUCGUCUAGAAAAAGAUCAGACUCAAGGAAACCCUAGUUUGGUUCGAUUAAAUGGUGAGAAUAUGAGUUGAAUCGGUGGAAAAGGUAAUUUAAUCGGUGGAAGAUGGUUCAAUCAGUAGAAAUUGGAAAAUAAUCGGUGAAAUCGAAGGGUAAAGUGAAAAUGAUGAAGAAACCCUAAGUUUGAAUGAGGAUGUUCGGUGGAAUGGUUUGUAAUGGCUGAGAAAUGAAGGUAGAAGGAGAUUCUAGGAAGAAGAAUUGCUUACCCUGAUGUUGAUGUGCUUGAUUGGGAGAAAUCCUAACAGAGGAAAAUGUGAUUGAUGAUGCAUGGAUGGAAAGUAAAGCGCGAGAAUGAAUGUGAAAUGAAGAAUCCUCUCUUUGAUGCGGGAAAGAGUAAAUGAAAAAUGAUGUGGACGGAAGGCUGACACGUGGUUAAGGAUACUGUCACUGUGCGAUGACGCUGAUGCUUGAGAAAAGGAAGACAACGUCGUGAAGGUGGUGGUGUGUGAUGAGAGAGAAGCACCGUGAGAAAAAUGGAAAAUGAAAGAAUGAGGUGUUCUUGGAAGGUGGCUAGAGGGGGUGUUUGGACUCUCUAGCCUGUGACUUUGAAGAGAGUACAGUUUCUGAAUUAGAAAAUUCUAUUCUCAUUUAUCUCAAAAGUGGGGAAUACAAGAGAGGAUUUGGGUAUUUAUAGUAACCCAUGUUCCUUACAAGCUAAUACACGUAUACAAUAAAAUGUAAAAAAUCGAAAAAGAGGAAUAAAUGAGGCAGGAUUCCAUCAGUUUUAGGGCAAUAAUUUUAUUCCAAUGGACUUAUCCGAAGACUUUUGAAAAGAAAGGUAACUCACACUUAUAAUUUUUAGAUUAAAAGAGAAUUCUAUAUAAAAAAAUAGUGAUAAUAUUAUAAAUGAACAUUUGAAAGAUAGUAAAAUUAAAAGAUCCCAUAGAAUCAAGAGAGAUGAAAAGAUCUGAGAUGAAAUUCCAGACAAGUUUGUCCAGAUUCCAAUGGAAUUGAAUUUGCAUGGACAUAGGUAAAAUGAACUCAAUCUGACCCAUGUUUGCUCAAGUUAGUUUUGGCUUAAUGUUAAGAUGAGACAACCAAAUAUCAGUUGAGCCACAUAAACCAAUAAAUCGUGAUUUUUUAAAUAAGUGUUAUUUUUGUUCUAAUUUGUUUUUAAAAUAAUUUUGUAAUAAAAUAUUUUGGAAAAUAAAUAAAAAUUCAAAACAAAAUAUAAAAUAUUGGGUUUAUUAUCCACAAACCUACGCUAUCUAUUGGUUCUAUUAUAAACAAAAAACUAUAAACUAUUAAGAAAAAUAUGACAAAGACAAAGGUUUCAAAAAGAAUAUUUAUUACGUUAGUGUAUGGAUAAAAACUAUUGGUACAAUAAUAUUUCAAAAUAUAAGCGUUGAAUUGUCUAGUACGUGUCAUGACAAGACAUUGUUUUAUAAGACAAUAUAUACAAUCAUAACAUAUAUAUCAUAUUUGUGCCUAUAAGCAUGUACGUCACCAUAACAUAACCUAUAAGCAUGUACCAAUUACAUGUAAACACCAAUCUUCCCUAACUUCAAUUAUUUGAUUGUCACGAUAUUUUUGAUAUUUGCAACUUGAAAAAUACUGUAAGAAAGAAAAAUAAUAUAAAAUUAGUCAAUUAAAUUUUUACUAUAAAUUAAUUAUGACAAUAAAGAUAACUUACAUCAGUUGGAAUUGUCCCUCAUUCACAGUAUGUGAUAAUUUUCUUCAUAUAUCAACAUACGUAGUACCCAUAAUCAUUAUCGUUGGGUUGUUUUGGAUACUAAAAAACCAAAAGUAGAAAACAUCUUUAUAAUUUGAACAUAACAACAAACCAAAAAUCCAGGAAACUCCAAACACAUUCAGUGCAUGGUAACAAACAACUAUAUACCAUAUACAAUUUAAAUUCCUAAUAGUAAAUCAUUAUUUCAUUACAAUCGUACACUCCUCCAACUAGUUUCACAAUAAUUCAAGUUAUUCACCUAACCAGUACAAUGCAACACGGAUAUAAAUCUUCAACCAUUCAAUAAUACAAGUUAUUCAUUUAACCAAUACAGUGUAAGCAACAACAAUGUCACUAGUGCAGUCAAGGGAAACGACAAUGGUUGUUUUCGCCCAUGGACAACGGUUCCUGAACCGAGGCAUAUACAAGCGAGGUAAAAGGGGUAGGCUUUAUGCCUCGGUUCAAAACCGAAGUAGUAGGGUUUUUUUUUUCUUCUUUUUUGAAAAACUAUUUAAAAUAUGACCAUUAUGACAGUUAAGACUUAACAUGAAAACAAUUUUCAAUAUGUACCAAAUUUAACUGAUUAAGUAAAUUGUGUAAUCGAUUAAGUAUUACACUUAAGAAAUUCUUCAAAACUUUUUCUCCUAAAAAACACAACACUGCACUCUUCAAACAGGUGUUAGUAAAGACAUGAGUUGUAAUCGAUUAUGCAUAUAAUGUACUCGGUUAAAACUUGUUGUUCAUUACAGUUAAGCAUUAGUUGAUAUCUGAUGAGACUAAUUGAUUACAUAAACACUGUAAUUGAUUACAUCAUACAUAUAUGCUUUGUGCAAGUGGUUUUAACAUUUAAAAACAUGAGUAUGCAUACUACAUAUAUAAACACAUGUAUGAACAUACUAAGUAUGCAAAUCAAUUACUUCAAGCAUGUUUGUAAGUGCUUUGAAACAUAUAGAAACAUUUUUGUUGUUCUUAUAGAAACAUUUCUGCUAUUGUCAUCAUAAAAAACAAAACAAACAGGGGAUUGGGUUUACAUUGCUUCCCCUAUCAACACUUUCAUAAAAAAAACAGUACCAAUACAAGAGAGUUUCGAAGGGUUGCAUAUUUGCUUCAACAGUUUAGGAGAUUUAGGUCCUCAUAAUGGAUGGAAAGAAUACAUACAAGAGUCAUCAUCUCUUAAACUUCUAAUAAUAUUCUUUAAAGUACAUAGGAAAGUGUAUGAGAAACUAUCCAAAAGUCUCUCUCUAAGAUAUAUCCAGAAGUCUCUUAAAAUAGAUGAGCAACUAUGUUUUUAUAAACUUUGUAGGGUGUGGCUUUAGAGAUAAAAUUGUGCCUCCAACUAUAGAGGUUUCCUUCCAAAGUGAGUUUACUUUGUAACUCAGGCCUCGUGCUUUUGGUAUUAUAUCCUUUGAGAUAACUUUUUAAGAAGGUUACUUUGUGGCUUAGCCUCAUGUUUAAUGUUUGAGGUUUUCCUGCAAGAUGAGUUAGCCACAUCUAUAUGGCUCAAGCCUCAAGAUUACCGUUCAACUAGGCCAAAGUCCGUUUUGUCCAAAAUUGUUUAGAAUUCUUCCCUUUUCUUUAUUUUUCUCUUUUAUCUAUAUGUAGUCAUCAAAACCUGUAAAAACAAGUCAAAUUGAAAUAUUUUAUACAAAUAUUUAACAGAAAAAAAAAAGAUAGGUGUCAAAUUGAUAUUAAAAUUAACUUAUAUAAUAAUAUCCUUGAUUGUGUUGUAAAAUCUUUCUCAAAUAUAUUUUCAUUAGUUUUUGUUCAUAAGUCAUCAAUAUGAAGUUAUUCCCUCGACAUACUCAAUAACUCAAUCUAUAACGCUUAAAGUUUCAUAUAAUUAGACAUUGGUAAAAUAUAAAAUGGUGCAAAAUAAGUAAUUUGCGUUACAAUACUGUCUUGACACUCUUGUAUUCGCCUUCGCUUUGUAUUAUAUUUUUUAAAAGGUUUAAUACCUAUUUUGGUCCCUCCUUUGGGAGGGUUUGUUCAAAGUGGUCCCUCCUUUUUUCAAAAGUUCACUUUAGUCCUAGUUUUCGCAAAAACUGUUCAAGUUGGUCCUUUUUGGUAACAGCGUUAAGUUCACUAACGACAGAGCUGCCAGGUGUGUAAUGUUUGAUGAUGUGGCAUUGUAAGUUGUUUUAAAAAAUAAUUAAUGAUGAUGUGUAAAUAAAUAUAGUUAGGGUAAAAUAAGAAAAAAUGAAUUAGGGUUUUUGAACAAAGGACUGUUCCGUUUCGUUCUGUUCUGUCCUAGAUCUUGAACAACUCUCUUCUGUAACAUCUUCAUGUUUCUACAAUGAUCCACUUAUAAACUUAUCACCCUAUAUCUAUCUUUCUCUUCCAACUUCACGCCUCUCUUCACACCUUCAACUUCUUCCUUCAGAUUUCUAAUUCUCUAUAACACGCCACUCUUUCUUCCAUGGAAGCCACCCUUUGACCCCUUCAGUUCUCCAUGACAUUUGGUUUUUCUUUUUUUAAUUUAUUCUGUCAAACUUGUCGAGACAAAGCUAUUUAUUGACAACAAUUUAGAGGUAUUUGAAUUGGUCAGUCAGCAAAAUUGGGACUCAAAAUCAGAAACUGUGGGCGACUGGGAUUCUCUUUCUCAAUGGAAAUAAAAUUUGUAACUACCACUCUGAGUUUUCUCAGAAUUACUGUGAACAGGAGUGAUCAUAUAUAUACUUUUUAAGGUAAUAAAUAGACUCAUAAAAAUGCAACUGAGGUGAUUUUUGAAUUCAGAAAUGAACUCUUUUUUUUUUAUCUGUAUCCUCUUACGAUUUUUUGUGAUAAAAAGGAACGCUCAAUUUGGGAAAAUUUACACUUGCAGUGAGUUGAUGAGAGAGAUGAUUACAUUCAUGGACUCGAAAGAGAAUUCGAAGGAGGCGGAGAGGUAUUUGGAUCCUCAGCUAUGGCAUGCGUGUCCAGCUUUCUGGUUUCGGAAAAGGAUUGCAAAUCCAAUCAAGAUGAACCCUAAUCCCAAUUGCCAGAAAAUCCCAGUCAAGAUGAACCCAAAUCCCAAUCAAAAUCGCAGAUUUUACCCAAAUUUACUCCUAAUUCAUUUUUUUAUUUUACCUUAACUAUAUUCAUUUACACGUCAUCAUUAAUUAUUUUUUAAAACAACUUACAAUGCCACAUCAUCAAACAUUACACACGUGGCAGCUCUGCCGUUAGUAAACUUAACGUCGUUACGAAAAAUGACCAACUUGAACGGUUUUUGCGAAAACUAGGACUAAAGUGAACUUUUGAAAAAAAGGAGGGACCACUUUGAACAAACCCUCCCAAAGGAGGGACCAAAAUAGGUAUUAAACCUUUUUAAAAUUAAUAUCACAUAUAGACGGCUUGACCCUUAAAGAAAUCAAUAUUACACAUAGCACGACCUAGUCAUGGUUGCUUUUUAUUUGUUUUUCUCAAUUGUUUGAAAACGCAUUAGCAAAACCUUUAAUCUCAUUACUCUCUUAAUCAUAUUCCUUCUCUUCCACUGCUCCUUUUGUCGUCCCAAGAUGCUGCUGCCAACGUUGAUUCCAUAUGAAUUAACUUCUUAGGAAACUUCUUCAUAAUUUGUUACAAGCAAAGGUGAUGAUGUAUUCUUGGAAAUACUUUGGAAAUAUUAGUUCCAAUGGCUAAGUCAUGAUCUAUUAAGAUAGAUACAAAAUUUUUCUAAUCCAUUGCCUCUGACCAAGUAUGAAACUAAGCAUGACAUGAUUUUAGUCAUUGUUCAAAUAUUUAAUAAUCCAAUUGCUUUUCAUGUCACCUCUUAGGAAAAUUUAAGCACUUUGUUAUCCUAAUCUUCUUCAUUCUACAAUUUUUCCUUUUGUAUUGACCUUCUACAACAUACUAAUAUGGAUGUCUUUUGUUUUUCUUUGAUUUAACACGUAUUCCAAAACCAUUCUUCUUCACAAAUCUGCACUGCAAAGUUUUCUAUCUUUUUUUAAUAAACUCAAACUCCAUCCUACACAUAAUUAAAUAGACUUUCAAGAGAGGAAGAAAAAAUAACUGCACAGGUAAAUGAAGAGGAAAAAUUGCUACAUAUGUUGGUUCAUGCAAUAAAUCUUUACCACUAAUUCACAUUGGUAAUUAUUAAUUCUGACGUAUAGUUUCUGUUUUAAAGCAGUAUGUUAGUUCCGUAAUCUAGAAGUCAAUAAAAAUCCAUAAAACAAACAAAAACAAAUUGCUCAAUUAGAAUUGACGUAUUCAAACAACUUAAUAAAAUGUGUCGGUUUACUCUGCGCCCAUGGAUUUCGUUUGAUUAAAAAUUUAAAAUAGUUUAAUUACUUUGACUUGAAUAUUGGAAUUGAUUAGAUUAUCUUAAUAUCAUAUAUUAAGAAUUUAAUUUUAUUCAUUACGUUCUCUUGGUAAACAUUGUCAUGGAUGAAAUAUUGUUCCUUGCAAUAAUUAACUUAUUCACAUAAGGUAGCCCAUAGAGACCCAUUUCUCUCAUUUGCAAUGUAAAUAAUAAGUAAUUUGAACUGGAUUGUAUAAAGUCAUAGUGCUUCAAGGAAGUAGCCAACUAGCAAACUAACGGAACUUAUUUCAAGUCAUAUAACGACUUUUUCAACUUCAAAAUUAAAUUCGGGUAAGUGGUUUUAAAACUUCAAGAAACUUUCAUGUAUACUUCCUUAACCAAAUCACCAAAAAGAAACACCUUAUGUACAUUUGUUUAGUAAACAUUCCAUUUUUUAAUUAUCGCCAUUUGCCAAGAAGAUACUAUACCGUCAUCAUUUAUGUCACUCGAACAACUGUUUCAUCAUAGUCUAUUAUUCUCUCUCUAACUAUGUCUUAAUAUAACAAGUUUUGCUUUUAAACCCAUUAUUUUUUUUUUCUUUUUUGGAUUUCUUCUUUGAAUAUAAUAGGUAUUCUUUGGAUUUCUUGUUUUUUUCAUUAUUUUUUUAUUAUUUCUAUUUUUGGCGAAAAUAAUUAUUUGUUUAAUUUUUGGGAGAGGACAAUACGGAUUAUAGGUGUGAAUAUGUGAAAAAAUGGAAUUGUUUUUGAAGAGUUCAAGGGUUGUGAGGGUACCAUGUUCAAAGAAAAAAAAAACAUGAGAGGAAAGAGGAAGAAUUAAUAUGUGUUUGUUUCUUGCAAUAAAUCUUUACUUCUAAUUCACAUUGGUAAUUAUUAAUUAAAGACUAGAAAAUGUCUUUCAUAAUAGAUAACAAUUUUAUGAAGACAAAAUUCUGACGUAUAUUUUCUGCUUUUUAAGAAGUAUGUCAGUCCCGUAAUCUGGAAGUCAAUAAAAAUCCAUAAAACACAAAACAAAUUGCUAAAUCAGAGUUGACGUAUUCAAACAACUUAAUAAAAUGUGUCGGUUUGCUCUGUGCCCAUGGAUGGUCAUCUUUAAUUCAGUUAGUAGUUAAUGCAUCACUCUCUCGUUUGAUUAAAAUUUAAAAUAGUUUAAUUAGUUUGACUUGAAAUAUGGAAUUGAUUAGAUUAUUCUAAACUGAUAAACACUUUUAGUUUCUCUAAUUAAGAUGCACGUCUUAUCUUAACAUCAGAUAUUAAGCAUUUAAUUGUAUUCAUUAGUUUUUCUUCGUAAACAAACUUUUUCAUGAUAUAAUUGCAUCUUAUGUAAUUAGUAACCCCAAAUCACCAAGUAAAUGUUUGAACCAUUUUAAAUCACAUGAAGUCGUUGCCACAUAGUGGUAUUCAACCUCUAGCCUCUUUAGAAGAGCGAGAUAUUAUUGAUUAUUAUUUAGGUUUCCAAUCUGGAGAAGAACCAAGAAGCACCACCCAAUUAGUCAAAGAACAUAUUGUAAGUGGACAAUCCACCCAAUCCAAAUCACACCAUCAUGUAGUUCUAGUUUUCUAGCAAAAGUAUAAUACUUAUCCUAGAUGUUUCAAGAAAUAUCUAAUAACCCUUAACCUAAUGCCCUGUACAAGGUUUUUGCAUAAAUUGAGAUUAAAUGUUAAUAGAAUAAGCAAUAUCAAGUCUAGUCAUACAAAAAGUAAAUUAAUCGUCUAAUCGGUCUUCAAUAGGAUUCCAGAUUUCAAGAGGUGUAUUAGAAGUCAACGCUAAGUUAUGGUUUUGUUCCACUAGAAAAUCGCAAGUUUGACACCCAAUAAACCUAUGUUUGCAAUAAUUUUCAAUGCAUAUUUUUGCCGAUCAAGGUAAAUUCUCACCCAAUUAUGGCCUAUCUCUAACCUUAUAAAAUAUUUUAAGAGACCAAAGUUCUUCAUAUGAAAGUUGGAACCUAUGUAAGGUUUAAAAAUUGUCAGGGAUGAAAUAUUAUUGCUAAUAAUUAUUUAAGCAUCAAUUUAGUAGCAAAAUCAACUCUUUUCCAGCUGAUAACUUGCUUAAUCCUCCAUUUUAUCUUAGUUUUAUGAAUAAUUGUGUUUUGGGCUACUUUGAUGUAAUUUCAUCUAUAAUCCCCUUAUUUUGUAGCUAAUAAUGUGAUUAGAAGAACUUGAAGAAGUAAGCAGAUCUGCAGAAAAAGAAAAAGAUGCAGUGUAAAAAGCCAGGCUGAGGGCCUAGGUCAGGGGCCUUGAGCGCCCGCGAGCCCCUCCAAGGGCGUUGAGCACCAUCCACAUGCCACACAGCACACCUGGACGCCCCAUAUAGGGUGCUAAGCGCUAGCGACAAUUGCUUAUGUGGCACUUUUGAUUUUUUUAAACCUAAAACGUGAAGGGUUUGGGGUCUUUGGUUCUUUGUAGGUGCAAUUCACUCAGAGGAGAGCUUGGAGGGCUGUUAAGGUUUAUGGAAACACUCCCUUCUUCCUUUUUGGGUUUUUCUUCUUCUUCCAUGGUCAUGUUGUAACCUCUAAGGCUCUCCAUGAAAAUGGAGUGUCAAUCCCAUCUUGUUGGGAUUAGUUGUAGCCUAUGAAUUCUUAUGUAAUGGAUGAUUGAUUUGAAUUUAUAUAUACCUUUUUUUUAUCAAUUUCUAGUAUUCUUGUUUCCAAUCGUAAAGCUUGCAUACAAUGGGGACGUAAGAUGGAACCUAAAACUGAAACAAGAGUCCUUGUGGUCAUUGAUUUUAGGGGUGGAAAAUGAUUCACAUGUUGUCUUAAGAUCCUAGUUCGUAAUGUGGGUUUCCUUGUUAGAUUGUCCAAGGGAUUGGAGUUUAAUAGGGAAAACCUAGACUCUUUCACCUAAGGGAUUAGGGCUAGAGUGUUUUAAUGGAUUGACUUUAGUAAAUUGAUGGAGAGGAGAUGAAUUUCAUGUAUUUGAACAUGCUUUAAAUAUCUUAUGCUUCUUUCAUUGAAUGUUAGUGAUAUUCUCUUCUUUGUAAUGCUUGUUAUGUUUUGGUCAUUCAUAGCUUGAUGAUUGGAUUUCUUUGUUAUUGGGAAAUACUUUCGAACCAUGAUCUGGAGGACUUCACCCAUAAGAAAUAUUAUCUAGGGAUAGAGAUAAGACAUUUGGUUGUCUUAAGCUUCUUUUCUCAAUGCAAAAUUGGUUAUUAGGGAUUCAAGGGACGUUUGGUCUAAUAAUAAAGGCUAGGAUUUUUAUGCCAAGGAUUGGGUUCUAAGUAAUUUAGUAAGGGACAUUAACAUUCCAAUGAAGAAGAUGAGUUCUAAUAUGCAUGAAAGUGAAUUAGGUAAAAACUAACCUUAACAUUGCCAUAUCAUACCAAUUCUAGUCUUUUCUGUUCUCAGUGCCUUCAAUACCAAAGUCCAACAUUGUAAUUAUUCAGAAUUUUAUUUUACUUGCACUUGCCUUUUUAUAUUAACUAGUAUUACACGAAUCUCUUGGGAAACAAUACUUGGUCUUACCAUUUUAUAUUACUUGAACGAUUUGGUACACUUGUCAAAAUCUUAACAGAGACAUAUAUGUAGAAAACCAUAUCCACAAAUGUCGUUGACUCAUCGAAUUUGGUAAGAUGAACAUUUUAUAACUAACAUCUUAAGCCAUUAUAAUUAUAAGUUUACUCAAAUUGUUCAUUGUGUAGAUAUUUGAUAAUGUGUGUACAAUGGAGCAAGAGUUCCUAAAGGAUGUUAGGUAAAUUCUCAUUCCUUUUAAGUGUUUAUAGAUGAUGUUAGGUAAAUAUUAGAUGUAUUCAUUAUACAUUGAGGUUAGGAACUAUUAUUUGAUGAGUAAAUAGUAGGAAAUAUAGUGAUUAUUUUGUUCGUUAAUGCCAAUGAGUAUAAAAAGUAACUUUUUAUACUAACACUAACUAGUAUAAAAAGUUGUAUUUUUUUAUAUCGAUUAGGAUCAUAACCGGUAUAAGAAGUUUGGAUCAUAUAUACAUUUAUUCCUCUCUUAACAAACUUUUUAUUCCCUUUUCAGAAUUGAUAUAAAAAAUAGACUUUCUGUACUCAUUCCAGAAUUGGUAUAGAUAGUCGAAUACUUUCUAUACGUCUACUUUUAUAUACUGAUUCGAAAACGAUAUAAAAUUUUUUAGAGUAGUAUAAAAAGACAUUUUUGCACUAGUUGAUAAAUUCUCAUUUUAAAGUUUUAAUUUAGUUUUUAAAAAAUAUAUGAUAGUUGAAUUCAUCUCUCUUAAUAUAUAUAUAUAUAUAUAUAUAUAUAUAUAUAUAUAUAUAUAUAUAAUUGUUUAUAUAUUUUUAUUAAUGUUUUGAAAUUUGAUGAAGUUAAAUAUGAUUGAUUUUACAUGUUAAAUAUCUUAAUUAAAAUCAACAAUUAAAACUUAAUAUCUAGUAUUUUUAAUCUAAAUUAUAUUUUUUGAUGCAUAUCGUACGUCUUUCAAAUAACACAAUAUCAAAAUUUAAUCGUUUAAAUUAAUUUUUAUUAUAACUUAAGUAUAAAAAAAAUUCUAACAAAUAAAGAAGAAACUAAAAAUGCGAACUCUACUGAAAUAGAGAGAGGCCGAUGAGACAACCCAGUUUGACAUAUGCACAUGUGAGAAGGAGGUUUCAAAAGUUAGCUAUCUCAUUUUCUGACUUCUCAUGGUUACUCAUUUACCAAAUUAAUUGUUUUCCAUUAUUAUUUCCUCUAUAACUUUUAUGAAUUUUAUCAUUAUACCCUUAAAUCUUUAUUCCAUUAGUUACUUUCCUUUGCACAAGUCUUCGGAUUUCAAUUGAUUGGAAUAUAAUUAUUGUCACAAAAAAUUUCCCAGCAUUGAUAAUGAGGAAAGUGACAAAGGUGGAUUAAUAAAUUAAGUUAUAGGACCGACGACUUUGAAUAAAGUAAGGGAAAGGCACAGUGAAAAGAAUAUGAAUUAAGGAGUUGGUAUGUGUAUAUAAAAUGUGGGUAUUGGGAGUGAUAAAUUCACAACAAAUAUCAAUCUAUUUCUAUAAUAUUCAAUCUCUCUAUUUCAUGAUCAUGAAUAUUCUCAAAGUGAUGAUGUUUAUAUUUGUGAUGAGUGUGGUGUUGCAGGUUGCAUAUGGACAACACCAUAUCAGAUGCAUUCCGAAGGAGAGGGAUGCACUCCUUCAAUUCAAGGCUGCCAUUGUCGAUCGUUACGGCAUGCUUUCCUCUUGGACCACUCCUCACUGCUGUCAAUGGGAGGGGAUUCGCUGCAACAACCUCGACCUUCAUGGAGAAGUUCAUUAUGAAUCUCUUUCUCUUGGCUAUAAUUAUCAAGUCUCUUGGCAUUAUUACAUCAGCGGAGAGAUCCACAAGUCAUUAAUGGAGUUGCCACAGUUACAGUAUUUGAACCUCAGUUUCAAUUAUUUUCUAGACAGUAAUAUUCCAGAGUUUCUUGGCUCUCUUACCAACUUGAGAUAUCUUGAUCUCUCUUCAUCUUAUUUUAGCGGACAAAUUCCAUCUUAGAUAAGUUCUCUUUCUCAUUUGAAAUAUUUGAAUCUUGCUGAUAAUUAUUAUCUGGAUGGUUCAAUCCCUCGUGAACUUGGAAAUCUCUCUCGGUUGCAGUAUCUUGGUCUCAGUGGCAAUUCUUUUGAAGGAUACAUUCCUUCCCAACUAGGAAACCUUUCAAAUUUGCAUAAACUCUAUCUUGGAGGAUAUCAUAAUGCUCUCAAAAUUGUCACUAGUAAUCAAUGGUUAUCUAAUCUUAAUUCUUUAACCCAUCUUUCCUUCUAUUCCAUAUCUAAUUUUAACAGUUCUCCUAGCUGGCUUCGUACCAUUGCCAAGCUACCAAAACUAAAAGAAGUCAGUUUAAUUGAAUGUGGCCUUUCCGAUCAUUUCCUCCUUUCAUUCAACCCUUCCAACUUCAAUUUUUCUACUUCUCUUUAUGUCCUUAGACUUUCUGAUAACUCCUUCACGCAACCGAUGAUGUUCCAGUGGGUGUCAAACACCACUUCCAACCUUGUUGAGCUUGACCUUAGUUGGAACCUCUUGAAGGGUUUGACAUCAAAUCAUUUUGGCUUGGCCAUGAAUUCGCUUGAGCACCUUUACCUGUCUGGAAAUGUGUUCAAGGGUGAAGAUUUGAAAUCAUUCAUGAAUAUAUGCACCCUACGUUCAUUAUACAUGUUUGGAAACAAUAUGACUGAAGACCUUUCGUCAAUUCUUCAUAAUUUCUCCAGUGGUUGUGUUAGAUAUUCACUACAAGAGUUGAGUUUGACAUAUAAUCAAAUCACAGGUUCCAUACCUGACCUUUCAACAUUUUCAAAUUUAAACACGUUGGAUCUUUAUGGCAAUCAAUUGAGUGGAAAGAUACUUGAAGGCACUAGGUUGCCAUCUCAUUUGGAGCAGUUGUCAAUUGGGUCUAACUCUUUAAAAGGUGGUGUUCCAAAAUCAUUUGGAAGCACAUGUACUUUGGAAUUAUUGGAUUUUUCUUUCAAUAGUUUGAGUGAAGAUCUCGCAGUGAUAUUUAAUCAUUUGUCUGGAUGUUCUAGAUACUCAUUGCGAGAAUUAUAUCUCCAUCAAAAUAAAUUCAAUGGCACAUUACCUGAUUUUUCAAUAUUUUCAAAGUUGGAAACGUUGGAUCUAUCAGACAAUCGAUUAAAUGGAGUUCAAAAAUUACUUCGCAAUUAUACUGUUUUGCGUUCAUUGAACCUAUUUAAUAACAGUUUGAGUGAAAAUCUUCCAGCAAUAAUGCAUCACUUAUCCCCAUCGUUGCAAAGUUUAAAUCUAGGCAUGAAUCAAAUUAGUGGUACUUUGCCUAGCAACCUCGCUACAAUGUUCCCAUCAUUAAAAGAAUUGUACCUUGAUAGUAACAAGCUAAAUAGGACAAUUUCUGAAGAUCUUCGAUUUCCAACAGAGCUUGAGGUAUUAUCAAUGAUGUCAAACUCUUUGAAAGGUGUGUUAACUGACUCUCAUUUUUAUAAUAUGACAAAAUUGAAGUCAUUGAUAUUGUCAGAUAAUUCAUUUUAUAAUUUAAGUAGCAUUUGAUUAAGGUGUCAUAUUUACUCUUUUUAAAUAAUAUUUUAUACAUUAUUCAUCUAUUUCGUUCCAACUUGUGUCACAAUUGAUUCUACAUAGCCAUGGCAGAUUGAAAGUACUAAUUUAUAAGAGAACAGAUGGGGGAAUAGCAUUUCUUUUUUUCACUCUUCUAUUUUUGAAUUAUAUAAAUAAUAAAACCAUUCCGGAACAGAAUCUGAUAUUCCACAGUUAGAAAUGUCAAGAAUUUCAAUGUCCUUUUGUGUAUGGAACCAUUUAGGAAAAGUUGGACCUAUCUUGCAAGAUGUCAACCCUAUAUAACCCAAUUGAAAGGACGGGGUCCAGUUUUUGCUAAAUUCUAAAGCCAAUGAGUUGUCUGAUAGAUCUAACAACUGCAACUUUGACAUGUUACCAAAAUGAGAGUCACUGAUCACACCUCCCAAAGAGUUCAAAUUCAUUUUGAGAGUCUCCAGCUGAGUAGGAAAUCGAAUAUCUUUUGGAAUUUUACCAUUUAGCCUGUUUUCAUCAAGAGAUAAAGUUUUUAAAGAUGAGAAUACUGGGAAUCUUGCAAGUAGAAAUUAAAAUCUUCAUGCAACAUUUCUGUUAGAAGUGGGUUUUAGGCCUAACUCAACCCUACAAAACCGACUUGUAAGGUGAGGUCUGCACCCCACUUAUAUAUUAUAAAUUGGCCUUAUCUUUAGUCGAUGUGGGACUUCCAACACACCCCCCUCACGCCGAUGUAUAUACAACCAUAACUCUGAUACCAUGUUAGAAGUGGGUUCUAGGUCUAACUCAACCCCACAAAACCGGCUUGUAAGGUGAGGUCUGCACCCCACUUAUAUAUUAUAAAUUGACCUUAUCUCUAGUCGAUGUGGAACUUCCAACAAUUUCUACAGACCAAAUUUCUAACUCCUGACAAAUUUAAUGCUAAGGUUUGUCAAUGAAGUGAGUACUGCAGAGACCUUGUUUUCUUAAUGGGCAUAACAAUUUCAGUUUUGGCCUCCAGAGUUUCUGUUCUUCCUUUGAUAUAAAGGUGAAAUAGGAAACUGGAGACUCAAUUUUGCACUUAACAUAUGAUUUCCUGACUUAAGGGUAUUUAAUUCAAGCGUAAAUUUAAAUGAAAUAUGAGAAAAAAGCAAGCCAUUAAUGCCAUAAUCCAAAAUGUAAAAGCUAUUUUUUAAACCAAGACUAACAAAGAAUAUUUACCAAUGACUAUAACUGCACAUAUGACAUUGUAAAAAGUUUGCAAGAAAAAGAAAAUAAACAAAAGGGUCAAACAAGAGGGAUUUUUGAAAAACCGUGCAUAUACAUUGUACUCUAACACUAACAUAGGUUGCUUUUAAUGUAAUGGUCAAGCAGUUGAAUCACCAUUUGUCAAUAAGCCAACAUUAGGUUCACAUUAAUUGCAUAGAGAAAAAACAUCAUGGUGUGUGAAUGAAAUCUAAAAAGGACAUGUGUUUUUAUUUAAAUUUGGUAAAUUAGAUUUGGUCAAACUCUUAUCUACUUUUGACAACUCUAAAAUCAAGAGUAAGAAAAAUGACAAAUCAUACAAAAUAUAUAGAAGAACUAUAUAUUAUUCAAUAAUGCUGCUACCCGUAAUAAUACAUUAUUUAUAAAGUUUAUACAUCAUAACUGCUAUUGAAGGAAAAAACAAGUAAAUAUGGAAUGACAAAGAUAAUAUAUAACAGCAAGCCUUUAAGCUACCUCUUGUAAUUGGGAACUUUUGCUGUGAUCAUGCGAUAGAUAUUGUCGGUUAAGUUGUUCAAGAACCUAAAAUAUAGUUGUCGCCAUGGACAAUUCAACAAAU
rnacentral:lncRNA from 1 species